AAACCAUCUGGAAUAGUCUCAAAGGUAAAAUCAGUGAAACCAUCAAAGGCUUUUGGACCUCUUGAUUUGAGCAAACGUUUGUGAUUGUAUUCGGUGUUGACAAAGGUUAUGUGAAAGCCUCUAAGAUGAAGAAGUUUUGCUAGUUUUAACAACGGAUUGAUAUGGCCUUGAAGUGGAUAUGGAGUUAUCACUGCAUGUGGCUUAAUUCUCUCUGCAAAAUUGCUCAUGUUUGAAUUUGUGUGUGUAAGAUAAGUUUAAGAAUAAAGGGAUACAAGUGAUCUUUGCUUUAAUAGAGAGAAAAUGUCAUCUUCAUUGUUUGGUGUAAGAAAAUGAGGGAAGUACAAAGGAUAAGUGUUAUACCCUGUUUUUGGACCUAAAAAUACUGGGCCCAAUUUCAUUUCAAACUUUGUCAAUUAUCAAAUUUCAACUGCACAGUUCAAAUUGUCUCUGCCUCGCAGUAUUUUUCAAUCACAAUUUUACCUAUGUUUUUCUUGCAUAAAACCUUUCGAAAUGUCUUUACUUGUCUUGUAAGUCAUUCAAAAGUGUCUCUGAAUCAUUACAUUGCUUUUUCCACAGUUUAUUUCAAAAUUUGCAAAGAAGUCAUACAGAAGGGUAUUUUGGUCAUUUCCCGCAGUGGGACCCAUUUUCAUCCUUGUGACUGUCUCUGAGUCUUUUCAAAUUCAUUUUUAACUUUCCAUCAGUAAACCUUGCUAAUUUCGUUUCAAACUUGCAUCUGAGUCAGUGUCGAGUUAAUUUGAUUCUGUUUAGGUCAUUUUUAGCCCUAGGGGCAUUUUGGUCAUUUCACAUAAAAUUUUGGCAUGGGGAGGUUACUUUGAAGUACCUCAUUUAGGCCAUUGGUUCGUUUUAGUCCGUUUUGUCAAUUUUAUUUUUUUGUUUCGCUUUACGUUUUGUCAGGUUACCAAUUUUAUUUCAAUUUUAUUUUAUUUUGCAUUUUGGUCCUCAAAGAGGUCCAAAAUUGCAUUUCAGUCCAGAAUUCUUUCUAUUUGCAUUUUUAGUCCUUUUUGUUAUUUCCAUUUUAGUCCUUUAAUUUUUCAAUUUUGCAGAAAAGGGCUCAAAGUGUCAAGCUCACGUUUUUUUUCAGUUAAAGUCCAGAUGUCACAAUUCUAUUGGUCCAAGAUCACACAUGUCAGCUAUAAAAGGUGUACAGUGCCACACAGACCCAUUAAUCACACGCCAACUCAUAAACACAAAAUCAAUUUUCUCUUUCUCAGCAAUUAGAUCAAAAACAGAAAAUCUCUCAGAAUUUCUCAAGAACACCAGGAACAAAAACCCUAACCGUUUUCCAGAAACCCUAAUUUUCAUCAGAAUCAACAUUUUUUGCAUCAAUCCUCAGAGAUUCGUGUGAAUCUUCAUCACCGGACUGAAGAUUUUCCUGCAAUUCCAAGUGCGAGCUCGCAUUGAAGCAAGCUCAAGCACUGAUCACAGGAUCUCCUCGCGUGGAUCUAAGAAACAUUGAAGCAAGCUCAAGCACGUAAUCACAGAGAAGCAGAGAAAGAGUCAGAGAAGAUGAAGAAUCUGGACCGGUGAAGCAAACAGAAUCAAAAAUCAUCAAGAACAGAAUCAAGAUUUCCAAAGAUUUCCUCCAUUAAAGGUUUCAACCAAAACCUUAGGUAAAACUCAUAAUCUUUUCUCAGAAAAUAAUAUCACUGUUAAACCUAAAAAUCACGCAAGCAAAACAGAUCCAAAAUUUCCAGAAUUCAAAGCCAAAACCGUAACCGUGAACACAAAACCUAGAUCCAUAAGGAUCUAAGUUUUGAAAGCAAAAACAAACAUCAAAGAGGUGUUAAACAACGAAAUGAUGUAGAUCUUCAAGGAUCUAAACGUUUUCUUUCAAAAAAUCAAAAUCAAAUUCAAAGCCGUACGACAAAUUUCCAGAUCUACAUCGUUUCGAAUUGAAUUUGAAAAAACAAUUGCUGGAUUCGUGUUUAGGGUUAAAGGACGAAUUGAUUGAUGAAGAAAUUUUGAAAUUCUGGAAAUUUUAGGUCACCGGAGUUCUUGAACUCGCCGGAGAAGAUGAAGUUUCCGGCGGACCUUCAAGGUCUCCGCCGUAGCUUCAUCCUCGCCGGCGGCGAGGUUAGUGAGAGGUGAGAGAAGAGAGAGGAACUUAGAGAGAGAAAGGGGAGUGAAAAGUGAAGAAAACCGGAACCUCUUCCCUUAUAUAAGCUAGUGAACCAGACCGGUUCAAGACCGGUCCAAUCCUGUUGAUUCCAGGCCGUUUGAUCUAGGGUUUCAGGAUCCUGGAUCAAUCCUGUGGCUCCUGUGAAUCCGGUUCUUUAGGGUUUUGGGUUGGGCCUUUGGUUUCUUUGGAUCUUUACGUUUUGCUAUUUCUGUGCUAUUCACACCCCUAUUUUUUGCUGCCUGCACCUAUGUCUUGAUUAAAAUUGUGAUAAAAUUCCUAGAAAAAUUCAUACAUGUUUCUUGAUAUUUUCUUAGUGUUUUUAUGACAUUUUUGCACAUUAAGGAUCUAUGAAAAUUUUGUAUAAUCAAUUCAUAGCAUUUUAAUUCUCUUUGAAUUAUUUGUUAUGGAUUCUUCUUCACACAUUUGUCCUUGAUGUGAGAAUAUGUAAUAAAAGCUACUUGAUGUGUUAAUAUGAGAGAUUUGUGCCUAUAAUUUCAUGUUGAUUUGCUGUUUUGAUUUGGUUUAUGAGUUCUUGUUUUUAUGAACAAUAUAUCCAUAUUUUGAAAGAUAUAAAAUGCCAAGUUUACUCUAGAAAAUAUGGCAUGAAAUCAUGCUUGCAUGUUUCCAAUAAUUCCAUGCUAUAACUUGAGAUAAAGAAAACUCUUUCAAAAUUUGUUAAAGCAUGAGAAUUAGAGGCCAAGAAUGCUUUAGGUUUCAUACCUAAGUUUUUAGGGUUUAAUGUCAUUUUGUUAACUUUUUGUGCCAUCUUGCAUGCUUUUAUUUCUUAGUACUUGUUAUGUUUUUUCUUUUCACUAACAAGUUUAUUUCCAUGUUUCAUGCAUCCCAUUUAGCAUUCCCUCCACUUUCUUUAGCCUAGCCUUUAUCUUUUGCAAGUUUUAAUUCAUUUGGUAAUGUAAUUUGUUAUCAUUGGUUUGUAGCUUGGCAAAGGGGCCAUAGAAUGUAUUUAGGCAAUUUUUGUAAUAUGGACUAUGGACACUAUGAUGCACCGACACGCACACACUCACCUUAGAUGUAUGCAUAGGAUUGUAUGGUUAAAUAAGCGUUUAGGUUUUAAACACUUAGAGAAAAUCCAUCUUUUUUUCAAAAAAAAAUAAUUGAACUUCACUUCAAAAACUUUCCUAAUAAGUAUGAAGUCAACACUUCAUUUUUUUCCUUUCUUUUUUUCUUAAGAAAAAUUCAAUUCAUCUUAAUCAUUUAGACUUUCUUUCUAAUCACUAAUCAAACCUCACUUUUUGCUAAAUCUAAUGCUCAUGAAGCCUCCCAAUCUCCUUCUUCAAAACCUUUUUUCUCAAAACUUAAAAUUAAACAAUUAGAACAAAAAACAAGUCUUUUUAGCAAGAACUACGCCGGUUUUGAUCCCGUAAAACGGUACGUAGGCAAUGAGUCAAAACUCAUCCAAGCCGAAAUAAAAUCCAAUUCUACUUCUUCUCACCCCCAUUCUUCACUAAUCAUACUUUCUUUUUUACAAAUAAGCAAUAAAACUAAAGCGUAGAAAUAAACUUAGGAAAGCGGUUCUUAUGGAGUACCAUAAUCGCUCCGGGUGCCUAACACCUUCCCGUAGCGAAAACGACCCCCGAACUUAGAAUCUAAGGGUUUUUCUCAAUUUUGCCCUUCCCAAGAAAAAAUAGAGAAUAUCAACGGUCAAAAGGUUCAAGUCCAAUUAAUGGCUUGGCACCCAAAAACCAUGAUAACAGAAAUGGCGACUUCACUGGGGAUUUUUUUAGCGGGUCACGCCUAGUUUUCCUUAGUUUAUUUACGCUUUGUUUUAUUGCUUACAUAUGUGAAUACUUGUUUACUUUCAUUUGACGUGUGGGGUGAGAAUAUCAAAAGUCCUAUACCCGGGCUGAGUGAACUUAUGUUUAGGUAGAGAUAUAAUCGAGAAUUCGAUCCGGGGGUUGCCUCGUGUAUUGGAUUAUGCGAUCAAUCUCACAUAGCUGAGGCAUUUUGAAGGUGAUAUUGUCGGCGUGUGUUGUCAUGCUUAGGCACUUCACUUUCAAUUGUUCGACGAAGCUAUGAACCGUAGUUACCAAACCCAUCCUAGCCUUUUUAGGACGUAGUGCGGUGGCUAAAUUGAGUGUUGUCUCAAACUUUAGUCGUCACGCGAUACUACACUCAAGCUAGACCUUCUCACAAAUAAUCAUGGAACGGGUGUCGUCCUGUACUACCAUGAUAUAUGUGAGAGAGGUUGCAGUUUGGGAACUGUGUUAGAACCAUGGUUACUACUAUCCAAAGCCUUAGUUCACCGGACGCCGUGUCCAUCCGUGGCCCCGUUACUUUGAAACUCAAUCCACUUUUAACAACACGAUCAUGCAUACAUGCAUUCAUGCAUAAACAUUUUUCAUGCAUUCAUCGAAGGGUUUAAACAAAUGGAAAUUUUUGUAAAUAAUCACAGGUAUGAAGAAGACUAAGUGCUACAAGUUCAAGGAAGUGGAUUUGGUUAGUUUGAGAGAGUUGGCACUCAAGGUCAAGAGUCAAACAGGGUUCCGACUCCGGUAUGGGGGAUUGCUUACUUUGCUCCGAACCGAUGUGGACGAGAAGCUAGUGCACACUCUAGUGCAAUUUUAUGAUCCAAGCUUCUGUUGCUUCACCUUCCCGGACUUCCAGUUGGUUCCUACUCUCGAGGCUUACUCCAAUCUAGUGGGUUUACCUAUGGCCGAGAAGACGCCUUUCACCGGUCCCGGGACUUCUCUUACUCCUCUGGUUAUUGCUAAGGAUCUCUACCUCAAGACUUCCGACGUCUCCAACCAUCUUAUUACCAAGUCUCACAUUCGGGGGUUCACUUCGAAGUAUCUUCUUGAUCAGGCUAAUCUCGGUACUACUCGUCAGGAUACACUCGAGGCUAUUCUUGCUUUGCUUAUCUACGGGCUCAUUCUCUUCCCGAACCUCGACAACUUCGUGGACAUGAAUGCUAUCGAGAUCUUUCAUUCCAAGAACCCGGUUCCUACUUUGCUAGCGGAUACCUACCACGCCAUUCAUGACAGGACUCUCAAGGGCCGUGGGUAUAUUCUUUGCUGCAUACCUCUUCUGUAUAGGUGGUUUAUUUCGCACCUUCCGAGUUCCUUCCAUGAUAACUCGGAGAACUGGUCCUACUCGCAGCGGAUUAUGGCCCUCACUCCUAAUGAGGUCGUCUGGCUCACUCCGGCCGCUCAGGUGAAGGAAAUUGUCAUGGGUUGUGGAGACUUUCUCAAUGUACCUCUUCUUGGUACUCGUGGAGGAAUUAACUACAACCCCGAGCUUGCUAUGAGGCAGUUUGGUUUUCCUAUGAAGUCGAAGCCCAUCAAUCUUGCUACAUCUCCAGAGUUCUUCUUCUAUGCGAAUGCUCCUACCGGACAAAGGAAAGCUUUCAUGGAUGCUUGGUCCAAGGUUCGAAGGAAGAGUGUGAAGCAUCUAGGUGUGAGAUCCGGUAUUGCUCAUGAGGCCUAUACUCAGUGGGUGAUAGAUCGAGCUGAGGAGAUCGGUAUGCCUUAUCCAGCUAUGAGAUAUGUGUCUUCGUCUACUCCAUCUAUGCCUCUACCUCUACUCCCCGCGACUCAGGAUAUGUAUCAGGAGCAUCUAGCUAUGGAGAGUCGUGAGAAGCAAGUGUGGAAAGCUCGGUACAAUCAAGCCGAGAAUCUAAUCAUGACUUUGGAUGGUAGAGAUGAGCAGAAGACUCAUGAGAAUCUAAUGUUGAAGAAAGAGCUAGCUAAGGCCCGGAGGGAAUUGGAAGAGAAAGAUGAGCUGCUUAUGAGGGACUCCAAGAGAGCCAGAGGACGACGAGACUUCUUUGCCAGAUACUGUGAUUCAGAUUCCGAGUCCGAUGAUCUUCCGACUACUUCCUAUGCUUGAGGGCUUCAUAUGUUUAUUUCAAAGUCUUUCUGUUGAGAAUACUAUGUAGUUUUGUUUAUUUGCAAGAUUUCUAAUUUGUUUAAAAAUCCUUCGAUGAGAGAAUAAGUCUUUUGCAUUUGCAUUUGCACAUCAUGCAUCAUAUGCAUCAUGCAUUGGUCACAAAGGCUUCCAAGUGCUUACCACCUCCUGGUUUCUCUGCCGCAGUGUGAAAAGUGGCUCGUGCUCAGAGAAUUUACGAACCUGAUAGAAUUGAUCGAACCAGAGAAUACAGAAGAAAGAAAAGGGCUAUGGAAGAAGAGAACACACAGCUUCGUACCGAAUUGGCAUCUCUAAGGGAGGAAUUGGCCAAAGCUCAUGAUGCUAUGACUGCUCUGUUGGCUGCUCAGGAACAACCAGUUCCUGUAGUUUCUACAGCUGCAAAUGUGACUCCUACCGUAACAACUGAUCCCCGCUCUAUCAUGCCAUCCGGGUACCCUUACGGACUUCCGCUGUACUAUACUACUAAUACAGGGGCAGGGACCUCUGGUACUACCAACAAUGGCCCAAUCCCAGGGGCAAACUUAACUCCUGUUAGUACCGCCUUGACUCAAGCUGCAACGACUGUUACCGAGCCCAUUGUGAAUGCGGUGCCUCUAUUUGUCCAUGCUAAUGCGCACCACGGGAGUAUUGCCACAACCGGAACUAUGGAAGAGAGAAUGGAAGAACUUGCCAAAGAGCUCCGACGGGAAAUUAAGGCCAACAGGGGAAACGGGGACUCCAUUAAAACCCAGGAUCUCUGCUUGGUAUCGAAGGUAGAUGUUCCAAAAAAGUUCAAAGUCCCGGAGUUCGACAAAUAUAACGGGCUGACUUGUCCUCAAAAUCAUAUUGUCAAAUACGUCCGGAAGAUGGGCAACUACAAGGACAAUGAUUCCCUUAUGAUCCAUUACUUCCAAGACAGUCUGAUGGAAGAUGCUGCAGAGUGGUAUACUAGUCUGAGCAAAGAUGAUGUCCAUACCUUUGAUGAGCUAGCCACCGCUUUCAGGAGCCACUACGGGUUUAACACUCGUUUGAAGCCGAAUAGGGAGUUCCUCAGGUCCCUAUCUCAGAAAAAGGAGGAGAGUUUCCGUGAAUAUGCGCAAAGGUGGAGAGGGGCAGCUGCCCGUAUCACUCCUGCUUUAGAUGAAGAAGAAAUGACCCAGACAUUCUUAAAGACCUUGAAGAAGGAUUAUGUUGAGAGGAUGAUCAUCGCCGCCCCGAACAACUUUUCAGAGAUGGUCACUAUGGGAACCCGUCUUGAGGAAGCAGUCAGGGAUGGAAUCAUUGUGUUUGAGAAAGCUGAAUCUUCUACGAGUGCAUCGAAGAGGUAUGGUAAUGGACACCACAAGAAGAAAGAAACGGAAGUGGGGAUGGUGUCAGCUGGAGCCGGUCAAUCUAUGGCUACUGUUGCACCUAUCAAUGCAGCUCAAAUGCCUCCGUCAUACCCAUAUAUGCCGUAUUCUCAGCAUCCGUUCUUCCCACCGUUUUAUCAUCAGUAUCCUUUGCCACCAGGCCAACCUCAGGUUCCUGUCAAUGCCAUCGCUCAACAGGUACAACAUCAACCGCCAGUUCAACAGCAGCAGCAGCAGUAUACUAGACCAACUUUUCCUCCUAUACCAAUGUUGUAUGCUGAGUUGCUUCCAACUUUACUCCAGAGAGGACAUUGCACAACUAGACAGGGCAAGCCACCACCUGAUCCGUUGCCUCCAAGGUUCAGGUCUGAUCCCAAAUGUGACUUUCAUCAAGGUGCCUUAGGUCAUGAUGUCGAGGGGUGUUAUGCUUUGAAGUAUAUUGUGAAGAAGCUCAUUGAUCAGGGAAAGCUGACUUUUGAGAACAAUGUUCCACAUGUCCUUGACAAUCCACUACCAAAUCAUGCCGCUGUGAAUAUGAUCGAAGUGUGUGAGGAAGCUCCUAGACUUGAUGUCCGCAAUGUUGCCACUCCCCUGGUGCCUCUGCAUAUCAAGCUAUGCAAAGCUUCUCUGUUCAGCCAUGAUCAUGCCAAGUGUCUAGGAUGCCUCCGUGAUCCUUUGGGUUGCCAUACUGUUCAAGACGACAUCCAAAGCCUGAUGGAUGAUAAUCUUCUGACUGUCAGUGAUGUUUGCGUGGUCGUGCCAGUUUUUCACGAUCCGCCUGUCAAGAGUGUACCUUUGAAGAAGAAUGCUGAGCCUUUGGUGAUAAGGUUGCCAGGACCAAUUCCUUAUGUUUCGGACAAGGCAGUGCCAUACAAGUACAAUGCUACUAUGAUAGAAAAUGGAGUAGAGGUGCCUCUAGCCUCCUUUGCCACAGUAAGCAAUAUUGCCGAAGGGACUUCUGCAGCGCUAAGAAGCGGGAAGGUUCGUCCGCCAUUAUUUCAGAAGAAGGUAGCUACGCCAAUCACUCCACCAGUUGAAGAAGCAACUCCAACCGUUGUUUCACCCAUUGCUACAGAUGUGAAUCAGCCAGGCAAGUCUAUAGAGGAUUCGAAUUUAGAUGAGAUUCUGAGAAUAAUAAAGAGGAGCGACUACAAGAUCGUUGAUCAAUUGCUGCAAACUCCUUCGAAGAUAUCCGUCUUGUCACUACUCUUGAGCUCUGAGGCUCAUAGGAAUACCUUGUUGAAAGUGCUGGAGCAGGCUUAUGUUGACCACGAAGUCUCGGUAGAUCGUUUCGGUGGCAUAGUGGGAAAUAUCACUGCUUGUAACAACCUCUGGUUCAGUGAAGAAGAGUGGCCAGAAGUGGGAAAGGGUCACAAUCUGGCUUUGCACAUCUCGGUGAACUGUAAAUCAGACAUGAUAUCAAAUGUGUUGGUGGAUACCGGUUCCUCUCUCAAUGUAAUGCCCAAGACAACUCUAGAUCAGUUGAGCUACCGCGGGACCCCGUUGAGGAGAAGUACUUUCUUGGUCAAAGCUUUUGACGGAUCUCGAAAGAAUGUGCUGGGAGAGAUAGACUUGCCGAUAACUAUUGGCCCUGAGAAUUUCUUGGUUACCUUCCAAGUGAUGGACAUUAAUGCAUCCUACAGUUGCCUGCUGGGAAGACCGUGGAUACACGAUGCAGGUGCGGUUACUUCCACUUUACAUCAGAAGUUGAAAUUUGUGAAGAAUGGAAAACUCGUUACAAUCCAUGGUGAAGAAGCAUACUUAGUCAGCCAGUUGUCUUCUUUUUCUUGUGUUGAAGCAGGGUCUGCUGAAGGGACUGCUUUCCAAGGUUUGACCAUUGAAGGCGCAGAGCCUAAGGAAGCUGGGGCUGCUAUGGCUUCAUUGAAAGAUGCUCAGAGAGCCAUCCAAGAAGGUCAGACUGCCGGCUGGGGCAAGGUGAUACAGCUCUGUGAGAACAAGCGUAAAGAAGGUCUCGGGUUCUCCCCGUCAUCAAGGGUUUCCUCGGGAGUCUUCCACAGUGCAGGGUUUGUUAAUGCUAUCUCUGAAGAAGCCACUGGAUCUGGUCUCAGGCCUGUAUUUGUUACACCAGGAGGCAUUGCGACAAAUUGGGAUGCCGUUGACAUUCCUUCAAUCAUGCAUGUUUCUGAGUAAUGUGUCUUGUUGCUUUAGUACUUUGUUUUCAAAAUAACAAUCCUCUCGCUCUGCCCAAAGCGAGAGUGAUAUUUUCUGUAAGGGCAUGUUUGUUUCGGCAUUGCCGUUGAUUAAUAAAAUUUUGUCGUUUCUUCCACGACUACUUUUUUUAAGUGCUUUUUCCCUUGGAAGCAAUGGUAAUGCCAGAAAAAACCAAAACGUCUGUAUUUUCUUAUUAAUUUCAAAAAUCUGCAUGAAAAAAAACUCUUUCUAAAAAUCAUCCAAUCAUUAUAUGCAGGUUGAACCAUAAUAAAUCCGUUGAACACAGUAAUCCUACGGUUCCUCCAAGUUUUGAUUUCCCUGUAUAUGAAGCCGAAGAUGAGGAAGGUGAUGACAUACCGUAUGAGAUCACUCGGUUACUUGAGCAAGAAAAGAAAGCCAUUCAGUCUCACCAAGAAGAGAUUGAGCUUAUCAACAUAGGUACCGAGGAAAACAAGCGAGAAAUCAAGAUUGGUGCUACCCUAGAGGAAGGGGUUAAACAGAAGAUCAUCCAACUCCUCCGGGAAUAUCCGGAUAUUUUUGCAUGGUCCUAUGAAGAUAUGCCAGGUCUAGACCCUAUGAUCGUGGAGCAUCGGAUCCCUACCAAGCCUGAAUGUCCUCCCGUCAGGCAGAAAUUGAGAAGGACUCAUCCUGACAUGGCCCUCAAGAUUAAGAGUGAAGUUCAAAAGCAGAUUGAUGCGGGUUUCCUCAUGACAGUGGAGGUAUCCCGAAUGGGUUGCCAAUAUUGUGCCUGUGCCAAAGAAGGAUGGUAAAGUCCGGAUGUGUGUUGACUUUAGGGACUUGAACAAAGCCAGUCCAAAAGACAACUUUCCGUUACCUCAUAUUGAUGUGCUUGUUGAUAAUACUGCUCAAUCUAAGGUGUUCUCCUUCAUGGACGGUUUUUCCGGUUAUAAUCAGAUCAAAAUGUCUCCUGAAGAUAGAGAAAAGACAUCUUUUAUCACGCCAUGGGGUACUUUCUGCUACAAAGUGAUGCCGUUCGGCCUAAUCAAUGCUGGUGCUACCUACCAAAGGGGAAUGACCACUCUGUUUCAUGACAUGAUUCACAAAGAAGUUGAGGUAUAUGUGGAUGACAUGAUUGUGAAGUCAGCAGAUGAGGAGCAGCAUGUUGAAUAUUUAACAAAGAUGUUUGAAAGGUUGAGAAAAUACAAGCUGCGACUGAAUCCCAACAAAUGUACAUUCGGUGUCAGGUCUGGAAAGUUAUUAGGCUUCAUUGUCAGCCAAAAGGGCAUUGAAGUCGAUCCUGAUAAAGUCCGGGCCAUCCGAGAAAUGCCAGCUCCACAGACAGAGAAGCAAGUCAGAGGUUUCUUGGGACGUUUGAAUUACAUCUCCCGAUUCAUAUCUCAUAUGACUGCAACCUGCGGGCCGAUCUUCAAACUACUUAGAAAGAACCAGCCUGUUGUAUGGGAUGAUGAAUGCCAAGAAGCUUUUGAUAGCAUCAAGAAUUACCUGCUGGAACCACCUAUCCUUGUCCCACCCGUGGAAGGAAGGCCUUUGAUUAUGUAUUUGGCAGUAUUUGAUGAAUCCAUGGGAUGUGUACUUGGUCAACAAGAUGAAACCGGAAAGAAAGAGCAUGCUAUCUACUAUCUAAGCAAGAAGUUCACCGAUUGUGAAACUCGGUAUACAAUGCUUGAAAAGACUUGUUGUGCUCUAGCUUGGGCUGCCAAACGCCUGCGCCAUUAUUUGGUGAAUCAUACAACUUGGUUGAUAUCCAGAAUGGAUCCGAUAAAGUAUAUCUUUGAGAAAGCGGCCGUUACUGGGAAGAUCGCACGCUGGCAGAUGCUUUUGUCUGAAUAUGAUAUUGUGUUCAAAACUCAAAAGGCAAUCAAAGGCAGCAUUCUUGCCGAUCACCUUGCUUAUCAACCUCUUGAUGAUUACCAACCAAUUGAAUUCGAUUUCCCUGAUGAAGAGAUCAUGUAUUUGAAAUCCAAAGACUGCGACGAACCGUUGAUUAAUGAAGGUCCAGAUCCCAAUAGCAAGUGGGGUUUAGUCUUUGAUGGUGCUGUCAAUGCUUAUGGCAAAGGAAUUGGGGCAGUCAUUGUAUCCCCGCAAGGGCAUCACAUUCCUUUUACCGCCCGUAUUCUGUUCGAAUGUACAAACAAUAUGGCUGAGUAUGAAGCAUGUAUCUUCGGGAUCGAGGGAGCAAUUGACAUGAGAAUCAAACACCUCGACAUCUAUGGAGAUUCUGCGCUCGUCAUCAAUCAGAUAAAGGGUGAAUGGGAGACCCACCAUGCUAAGUUGAUUCCUUAUCGUGAUUAUGCGAGACGUCUUCUGACAUAUUUUACAAAGGUUGAGCUGCAUCAUAUUCCUCGUGAUGAGAACCAAAUGGCUGAUGCUCUUGCUACUCUAUCUUCCAUGUUUCGAGUAAACCAUUGGAAUGAUGUGCCAUUAAUUAAAGUGCAACGCCUUGAAAGACCUUCGCAUGUGUUUGCUAUUGGGGAUGUGAUCGAUCAGGCUGGUGAAAAUAUGGUUGACUAUAGACCCUGGUACUACGACAUCAAACAGUUCUUGCUGAGCCGUGAGUAUCCGCCGGGUGCUUCCAAACAAGACAAGAAGACCUUGAGAAGAUUGGCCGGUAGAUUCUUGUUAGAUGGAGAUAUUCUGUACAAGAGGAACUAUGACAUGGUAUUGUUAAGAUGUGUUGAUGAACAUGAAGCAGAGCAGUUAAUGCAUGAUGUACAUGACGGUACCUUCGGGACCCAUGCUACAGGGCAUACUAUGUCAAGAAAGUUGCUACGGGCAGGUUACUACUGGAUGGCCAUGGAGCAUGAUUGCUACCAAUACGCCAGAAAAUGCCACAAAUGUCAAAUCUAUGCUGAUAAGAUUCAUGUGCCUCCGCACGCUCUCAAUGUUAUGUCAUCCCCAUGGCCGUUCUCAAUGUGGGGCAUCGAUAUGAUUGGAAGAAUUGAACCGAAAGCUUCAAAUGGUCAUCGUUUCAUCUUAGUGGCAAUUGACUACUUUACCAAAUGGGUUGAAGCAGCAUCUUAUACCAAUGUGACCAAGCAAGUGGUAGCUAAGUUCAUCAAGAACAACAUCAUCUGUCGAUAUGGUGUUCCCAGCAAGAUUAUUACCGACAAUGGUACCAACCUGAACAACAAUGUGGUGCAAGCUCUUUGUGAAGAAUUCAAAAUUGAGCAUCAUAACUCUUCUCCUUAUAGACCUCAGAUGAAUGGUGCAGUUGAGGCCGCCAAUAAGAAUAUCAAGAGAAUUGUCCAGAAGAUGGUAACCACUUACAAGGACUGGCAUGAGAUGUUACCCUAUGCUCUGCAUGGCUACCGUACUACCAUGCGCAGUUCAACCGGGGCAACCCCUUUCUCUCUUGUAUAUGGUAUGGAAGCAGUUCUUCCUUUGGAAGUGGAGAUCCCAUCUCUCCGUGUGAUCAUGGAAGCAAAGUUAUCCGAAGCUGAAUGGUGCCAAAGCCGGUAUGAUCAGUUGAAUUUGAUUGAGGAAAAACGUAUGGAUGCCAUGGCUCGUGGACAGUCAUAUCAAGCAAGAAUGAAGACUGCCUUUGACAAGAAAGUCCAUCCUCGAGAAUUCAAGGUAGGGGAACUUGUAUUGAAAAGGAGGAUAAGCCAGCAACCCGACCCGAGGGGCAAGUGGACGCCUAACUAUGAAGGUCCUUAUGUCGUCAAGAAGGCCUUCUCCGGUGGUGCUUUAAUCCUUACACACAUGGAUGGUGUAGAGCUUCCAAAUCCAGUGAAUGCCGAUAUAGUCAAGAAAUACUUUGCCUAAAAAUAUGAAAAGAACAGCGUGGUAGGUCGAAAACCCGAAAGGGCGGCCUAGGCAAAAAUGCGCUUCCCGGUGGAUCGAAAACCCGAAAGGGCGGUCCAGGCAAAAAUAAGGGACAAAAAAAACAACAAAUAUGAAAAGCUCGCUGAGAUUGUACACAACUCAGGCAAGAAUGAGCGUCUCGAUGAGCCGAAAACCCGGAAGGUCGGUUCAUGCAAAAAUGAGAUUGAAACAAAAGGCAAGUAACUAUAUCUGGCCAACCACCGUCCCCCUUGGGGCAUCUGCAGCUGUUAAUGCCUAUCUUCAUCAAAAGCUUCUGUACUUGUGAAUUCGAAGUUUCUGGGAAAUGUCAUGAUUACUGUGUUCAAUGUACCACCAACCAAUAAAAUUACCAUUUUCCAAGCUUUGUGAAUCCGUGGAGUCGUGCCUUCGGCUGAUCACCACUCUUAUACAUCAAUUUGAGCUUGUGCUUUUGUUUGAAACUCUAUUUUUCUUCUACUUUCAAAGCUGUAUACAAAACAUUCUCUUUCCAUUUUGAUAAUGACAAUGCUUGAAACAAACAUUUUUGAAAAUUGAAAACUUUUUGUCUAUUUUGAAAAGCAAACCCGAGCAACAGGGUACAUUCAAAUGAACAUGCAUGAGCGAGUGUGUGUGGGUGUCUAUCUUCAAUAUAUGUUACAAGCAGGUUCUCCUCCAAGAUAAUCUGUGGUCAAUGGCAAGAAUGAAAAAACAGAAUGAAAAUGCAUGAAAAUGAAUGAGCUCGCUAAGUUGAAAACCCGAAAGGGCGACUUAGGCAAAAAUGAGCACCCCGCUGGAUUGACAACCCGAAAGGGCAGUUCAGGCAAAAAUGGGGCAUUGAAAAGAAUUUAUUUCCCCGGUGGGUCGAAAACCCGAAAGGGCGAUCCAGGCAAAAAUGGGAUGCAAAAAAUGAAUGAUGAAGAUUGAGAAUAUAACAUGCAAAAAGCAUUGACCACAGAUGCGAUGUCCACAACAUGCCCAGCACAACGGCAUUAUCCCCAGUAAAGUCUCUCAAGAUUCUAUCCCCAGCAAGUUGCAUAGCUACCAGCCCUCAGCCUAGGUCCCGAAACGUCUCCCAACGACGUCAUCUCCAAAGAGGAUUUCCAAGAAUGUGUAAUAUAGCUCGAGCCACUACGUGCCCAAUACUCUGAUGUCUUGUCUUCCCCGUGAAGUCGUGCCUACAAAAUGCCAACAGUCAUGCAUUACAAGCAUUCAUACAUGCAUAAUCAUGCAUAUUACGUACCCAUGCAUUUAAUGAAAUUGUUAUAUCAUCCAUGCAUAUUGCAUUUCCAAUGUCAACAUCAGUCUCAAUUCAACACUCAUGUCAGGUUCUCUGUCAAAACCUUGUGAGCCAAUAAUAUCGGUCAAUUUCUACCUUUCAAUUCAAAUCGACGUCAAGUCAAUCUCAAUCUAUAUUUUGUCAACAAACCAAUCCCCAGUGAAUAUGUUUUUGUUCGGUCAAGUUACUAGUUCGCAUCCAAGAACGACUUGCACCCGUUUACUUUUCAAUGUUAUCGGUCGAGUGCCCAGCUCAAUCCAAGAGCAGCUUGUACCUGUCUAUUUGUUUCUGUCCGGUGGAGUAACCAGUUCGCAUCCAAGAACAAGCUCACACCUGUUUAUUUGCCUUGCUUUCGGUCGAGUAACCAGUUCGAAUCCUUAAGAACAACUCGUACCUGCCAAUUUUACAUGUUUUCAGUCGAGUCACCAGUUCGAAUCCGUAAGAACAACUCGUACUUGCCAAUUUUCUCUUUUUCCCAGUCGGGUCACCAGUUCGAAUCCAUAAGAACAACUCGCACUUUCCAGUAUCCCCAAGUGAGUUAUCAGUUCGAAUCCAUAAGAACAACUCAUAUUUGUCCAGUAACCUCUAUCCCCUGUGGAGUGACCAGUUCGAAUCCAUAAGAACAACUCGCAGUUGUCUGUUUGUUUCAUUCCCGGUCAGGUGCCCAGCUCGAUCCAAGAGCAGCUUGUACCUGUCCAACUUGUUUCUAGUUUCCCGUUACUCUGCUAUUCACUAUCUUUGUCAAUGUCUACCAAUCCCGCAAUGGAUACGACAUAUUUUGUUAAUUCCAAUCCCCAUGAGGUCUUGCAUUCAUAAUCCAAACGAUGCAUGGCAUGCAUAUUAUUUGAAAAUGGGUAGGCGUAUUUUUACGUCCAAACACAGUGCAAAUGCUAAUAUUUAAGUAUCUUCGUCCUGUCAAGCCAAAGACUCCGUCUCUUGACUCUCCAGACAAAGAAACUUAAAUAGGGGCAGCUGUUAUACCCUGUUUUUGGACCUAAAAAUACUGGGCCCAAUUUCAUUUCAAACUUUGUCAAUUAUCAAAUUUCAACUGCACAGUUCAAAUUGUCUCUGCCUCGCAGUAUUUUUCAAUCACAAUUUUACCUAUGUUUUUCUUGCAUAAAACCUUUCGAAAUGUCUUUACUUGUCUUGUAAGUCAUUCAAAAGUGUCUCUGAAUCAUUACAUUGCUUUUUCCACAGUUUAUUUCAAAAUUUGCAAAGAAGUCAUACAGAAGGGUAUUUUGGUCAUUUCCCGCAGUGGGACCCAUUUUCAUCCUUGUGACUGUCUCUGAGUCUUUUCAAAUUCAUUUUUAACUUUCCAUCAGUAAACCUUGCUAAUUUCGUUUCAAACUUGCAUCUGAGUCAGUGUCGAGUUAAUUUGAUUCUGUUUAGGUCAUUUUUAGCCCUAGGGGCAUUUUGGUCAUUUCACAUAAAAUUUUGGCAUGGGGAGGUUACUUUGAAGUACCUCAUUUAGGCCAUUGGUUCGUUUUAGUCCGUUUUGUCAAUUUUAUUUUUUUGUUUCGCUUUACGUUUUGUCAGGUUACCAAUUUUAUUUCAAUUUUAUUUUAUUUUGCAUUUUGGUCCUCAAAGAGGUCCAAAAUUGCAUUUCAGUCCAGAAUUCUUUCUAUUUGCAUUUUUAGUCCUUUUUGUUAUUUCCAUUUUAGUCCUUUAAUUUUUCAAUUUUGCAGAAAAGGGCUCAAAGUGUCAAGCUCACGUUUUUUUUCAGUUAAAGUCCAGAUGUCACAAUUCUAUUGGUCCAAGAUCACACAUGUCAGCUAUAAAAGGUGUACAGUGCCACACAGACCCAUUAAUCACACGCCAACUCAUAAACACAAAAUCAAUUUUCUCUUUCUCAGCAAUUAGAUCAAAAACAGAAAAUCUCUCAGAAUUUCUCAAGAACACCAGGAACAAAAACCCUAACCGUUUUCCAGAAACCCUAAUUUUCAUCAGAAUCAACAUUUUUUGCAUCAAUCCUCAGAGAUUCGUGUGAAUCUUCAUCACCGGACUGAAGAUUUUCCUGCAAUUCCAAGUGCGAGCUCGCAUUGAAGCAAGCUCAAGCACUGAUCACAGGAUCUCCUCGCGUGGAUCUAAGAAACAUUGAAGCAAGCUCAAGCACGUAAUCACAGAGAAGCAGAGAAAGAGUCAGAGAAGAUGAAGAAUCUGGACCGGUGAAGCAAACAGAAUCAAAAAUCAUCAAGAACAGAAUCAAGAUUUCCAAAGAUUUCCUCCAUUAAAGGUUUCAACCAAAACCUUAGGUAAAACUCAUAAUCUUUUCUCAGAAAAUAAUAUCACUGUUAAACCUAAAAAUCACGCAAGCAAAACAGAUCCAAAAUUUCCAGAAUUCAAAGCCAAAACCGUAACCGUGAACACAAAACCUAGAUCCAUAAGGAUCUAAGUUUUGAAAGCAAAAACAAACAUCAAAGAGGUGUUAAACAACGAAAUGAUGUAGAUCUUCAAGGAUCUAAACGUUUUCUUUCAAAAAAUCAAAAUCAAAUUCAAAGCCGUACGACAAAUUUCCAGAUCUACAUCGUUUCGAAUUGAAUUUGAAAAAACAAUUGCUGGAUUCGUGUUUAGGGUUAAAGGACGAAUUGAUUGAUGAAGAAAUUUUGAAAUUCUGGAAAUUUUAGGUCACCGGAGUUCUUGAACUCGCCGGAGAAGAUGAAGUUUCCGGCGGACCUUCAAGGUCUCCGCCGUAGCUUCAUCCUCGCCGGCGGCGAGGUUAGUGAGAGGUGAGAGAAGAGAGAGGAACUUAGAGAGAGAAAGGGGAGUGAAAAGUGAAGAAAACCGGAACCUCUUCCCUUAUAUAAGCUAGUGAACCAGACCGGUUCAAGACCGGUCCAAUCCUGUUGAUUCCAGGCCGUUUGAUCUAGGGUUUCAGGAUCCUGGAUCAAUCCUGUGGCUCCUGUGAAUCCGGUUCUUUAGGGUUUUGGGUUGGGCCUUUGGUUUCUUUGGAUCUUUACGUUUUGCUAUUUCUGUGCUAUUCACACCCCUAUUUUUUGCUGCCUGCACCUAUGUCUUGAUUAAAAUUGUGAUAAAAUUCCUAGAAAAAUUCAUACAUGUUUCUUGAUAUUUUCUUAGUGUUUUUAUGACAUUUUUGCACAUUAAGGAUCUAUGAAAAUUUUGUAUAAUCAAUUCAUAGCAUUUUAAUUCUCUUUGAAUUAUUUGUUAUGGAUUCUUCUUCACACAUUUGUCCUUGAUGUGAGAAUAUGUAAUAAAAGCUACUUGAUGUGUUAAUAUGAGAGAUUUGUGCCUAUAAUUUCAUGUUGAUUUGCUGUUUUGAUUUGGUUUAUGAGUUCUUGUUUUUAUGAACAAUAUAUCCAUAUUUUGAAAGAUAUAAAAUGCCAAGUUUACUCUAGAAAAUAUGGCAUGAAAUCAUGCUUGCAUGUUUCCAAUAAUUCCAUGCUAUAACUUGAGAUAAAGAAAACUCUUUCAAAAUUUGUUAAAGCAUGAGAAUUAGAGGCCAAGAAUGCUUUAGGUUUCAUACCUAAGUUUUUAGGGUUUAAUGUCAUUUUGUUAACUUUUUGUGCCAUCUUGCAUGCUUUUAUUUCUUAGUACUUGUUAUGUUUUUUCUUUUCACUAACAAGUUUAUUUCCAUGUUUCAUGCAUCCUGUUAUCAUGGUUUUUGGGUGCCAAGCCAUUAAUUGGACUUGUACCUUUCGACCGUUGAUAUCUCUAUUUUUUCUUGGGAAGGGCAAAAUUGAGAAAAAACCCUUAGAUUCUAAGUUCGGGGGUCGGUUUUACUACGGGAAGGUGUUAGGCACCCGGAGUAACUAUAGUCCUCUAUAGGAGCCGUUUUCCUAAGUCUAUAUUCACGCUUAUUUUUACUUACUUUUGAAGAUGGGAGGUUUAUUUAGUUAAGAAUGAGGGGAGAGAAGUUGUAAGACUUUUUAAUUUUAUUUCGGCUUGGAUGAGUUUUGACUCAUUGCCUACGUACCGUUUUACGGGAUCAAAACCGGCGUAGUUCUUGCUAAAAAAAAGACUUGUUUUUCUUUUGUUUUAAUUGUUUGAUUUUAAGUUUUAAAAAAAGGUUUUGAAGAAGGAGAUUGGGAGGCUUCAUGAGCAUUAGAUUUAGCAAAAAAGGUGAGGUUUGAUUAGUGAUUUAGAAAGAAAGUCUAAAUGAUUAAGAUGAAUUGAAUUUUUCUUAAGAAAAAAGAGAAAGGAAAAAAAAAAUGAAGUGUUGACUUCAUACUUAUUAUGAAAAUUUUUGAAGUGAAGUUCAAUUGCUUUUUUUGAAAAAAAGAUGGAUUUUCCCUAAGUGUUCAAACCUAAGCGCUUAUCUAACCAUACAAUCCUAUGCAUACAUCUAAGGUGAGUGUGUGCGUGUCGGUGCGUCAUAGUGUCCAUAGUCCAUAUUACAAAAAUUGCCUAAAUACAUUCUAUGGCCCCUUUGCCAAGCUACAAACCAAUGAUAACAAAUUACAUUACCAAAUGAAUUAAAACUUGCAAAAAAAACAAAUGCUAGGCUAAAAAGUGGAGGGAAUGCUGAGUUUUUAUGGAGAUUCUGUUAGGUUUCUUCGGAAACACUUGGAUUUGGCUUUUGCUUGUUGAUUUCUGGCUUUGAACCGAAAAUAAAUCGGUGAUUCUUCUUUUCUCACUGAUUCCGUUUCUUCAUCUUCUUCGCCGGCUUAAAACCUUGCUUCUUUCCCUUUUCUUCUCCUUUUUCAACGCCUCUGUGAUCGGUGUUGGAGUUCUUCGCCACUGGGGAAGAAUUCUCACCUUGAAUUGCAGAGGGAUCAACUCAGUGAUGAAGAUUCGCCAUUGAAUCUCUGAGAGUUUGAUGCAAAAAUCAAUGAAUUUGUGUAUGAAUUUUGGUUCUGGAAAUUUCUAGGGUUCUUGUGUUCUUGAUGAACUUGAUGAUUUUUCUGUUUCUGAUCUAACUGAAUGGAGAGAGAAAGUCUCAUUGUGUUUGUUGAGUUGGCGUGUGAUUAAUGGCUUUGAAUCUGACUCACUGUUUAUAUAGUUGACAUGUGUACACUUGAGCCAAUGAAAUUGUGACACGUACCCUGGACUUGCUCACUUGGGCGCUGCUUGCUAUUUUAAGGACCAAUCUGCAAAUUGUGAAAAUGACAAGGACUGGACUGCAAAAUUAAAAAAAACUUGAAAUGAAAUAAAUAAUAAAAAAACAGUUUGGACAAAAAUGCAAUUUUGGGACCUCAAUUGAGGGACCAAAAUGCAAUACAAAAUAAAAUUUGAAUAAAAAACGUAAUUUGACCAAACGUAAAGUGAAACAAAAAUAAAAUUGACAAAACGGACUAAAACGAACCAAUGGCCUAAAUGAGGUACUUCAAAGUAACCUCCCCAUGCCAAAAUUUCAUGUGAAAUGACCAAAAUGCCCCUAGGGCUAAAAAUGACCUAAACUGACUCAAACAGACUUGACACUGACUCAGAUGCAAGUUUGAAAUGAAUUUAAACAGGGUUUACUGACGAAAUGUCAAAAAAUGAAUUUGAAAAGACUCGGAGAUAGUCACAAGGAUGAAGAUGGGUCCCACUGCAGGAAAUGACCAAAAUACCCUUCUGUAUGACCUUUUGCAAAUUUUGAAAUAAACUGUAGAAAAAGCAAUGUAAUGAUUCAGAGGCACUUUUGAAUGACUUACAAGACAAGUAAAGACAUUUUGAAAGGUUUUAUGCAAGAAAAACAUAGGUAAAAUUGUGAUUGAAAAUACUGCGAAGCAGAGACAAUUUGAACUGUGCAGUUGAAAUUUGAUAAUUGACAAAGUUUGAAAUGAAAUUGGGCCCAGUAUUUUUAGGUCCAAAAACAGGGUAUAACAGCUGCCCCUAUUUAAGUUUCUUUGUCUGGAGAGUCAAGAGACGGAGUCUUUGGCUUGACAGGACGAAGAUACUUAAAUAUUAGCAUUUGCACUGUGUUUGGACGUAAAAAUACGCCUACCUAUUUUCAAAUAAUAUGCAUGCCAUGCGUCAUUUGGACUAUGAAUGCAAGACCUCAGGGGGAUUGGAAUUAACAAAAUAUGUCGUAUCCAUUGCGGGAUUGGUAGACAUUGACAAAGAUAGUGAAUAGCAGAGUAACGGGAAACUAGAAACAAGUUGGACAGGUACAAGCUGUUCUUGGAUUCAAACUAGCCACUUGACCGGGGAUGAAACAAACAGACAACUGCGAGUUGUUCUUAUGGAUUCGAACUGGUCACUUCACAGGGGAUAGAGGUUACUGGACAAACAUGAGUUGUUCUUAUGAAUUCGAACUGAUAACUCACUUGGGGAUGUUGGAAAGUGCGAGUUGUUCUUAUGGAUUCGAACUGGUGACCCGACUGGGGAAAUUGACAAGUACGAGUUGUUCUUAUGGAUUCGAACUGGUCACUCGACCGAAAGCAAAGGCAAAUAAACAGGUGUGAGCUUGUUCUUGGAUGCGAACUGGUUACUCCACCGGACAGAAAUAGAUAGACAGGUACAAGCUGCUCUUGGAUUGAGCUAGCCACUUGACCAAACGGAAACAUAUUGACAGGUACGAGCUGCUCUUGGAUUGAGCUGGACACUCGACCGAUAACAUAAGCAAAUUGAUAGGUACAAGCUGUUCUUGGACUUGAACUAGCCACUUGACCAAACAGAAACAUAUUCACUGGGGAUUGAGUUUUGUUUGACGAAAUAUAGAUUGAGAUUGACUUGGCGUCGAUUUGGUUUGAAAGGUAGAAAUUGAUUGAUAUUAUUGGAUCACAAGGCUUUGACAGAGAACCUGACAUGAGUAUUGAAUUGAGACUGAUGUUGACAUUGGAAAUGCAAUAUGCAUGGAUGAUAUAACAGUUCCAUUAAAUGCAUGGGCACGUAAUAUGCAUGAUUAUGCAUGUAUGAAUGCUUGUAAUGCAUGACUGUUGGCAUUUUGUAGGCACGACUUCACGGGGAAGACAAGACAUCAGAGUAUUGGGCACGUAGUGGCUCGUGCUAUAUUACACAUUCUUGGAAAUCCUCUUUGGAGAUGACGUCGUUGGGAGACGUAUCGGAACCAUGGCUGAGGGCAGGUAGCUAUGCAACUUGCUGGGGAUAGAAUCUCGAGAGACUUUACUGGGGAUAAUGCCGUUGUGCUGGGCAUGUUGUGGACAUCGCAUCUGUGGUCAAUGCUUUUUGCAUGCUAUUUUCUCAUUCUCAUUUUUCGCAUCCCAUUUUUGCCUGGAUCGCCCUUUCGGGUUUUCGAUCCACCGGGGAAAUAGAUUCUUUUCAAUGCCCCAUUUUUGCCUGAACUGCCCUUUCGGGUUGUCAAUCCAGCGGGGUGCUCAUUUUUGCCUAAGCCGCCCUUCCGGGUUUUCAACUUAGCGAGCCUUUUCAUUUUCAUGCAUUUUCAUUCUGUUUUUUCAUUCUUGCCAUUGACCACAGAUUAUCUUGGAGGAGAACCUGCUUGUAACAUAUAUUGAAAUAGACAUUAACAUACUCUCGCUCAUGCAUGUUUCAUUUGAACGUACCCUGUUGCUCAGGUUUGCUUUUCAAAACAGACAAAAAGUUUUCAAUUUUCAAAAUGUUUGUUUCAAGCAUUGUCAUUAUCAAAAUAGAAAGAAAAUGUUUUGUAUAUAGCUUUGAAAGUAAAAAGAAAAAUAGAGUUUCAAACAACAGCACAAGCUCAAUUUGAUGUAUAAGAGUGGUGGUCAGCCGAAGGCAUGACUCCACGGAUUCACAAAGCUUGGAAAAUGGUAAUUUUUAUUGGUUGGUGGUACAUUGAACACGGUAACCACUACAGUUCUUAGAAACUUUGAAUUCACAAGUACAGAAGCUUUUGAUGAAGAUAGGCAUUAACAGCUGCAGAUGCCCCAAGGGGGACGGUGGUUGGCCAGAUAUAGUUACUUGCCUUUUGUUUCAAUCUCAUUUUUGCAUGAACCGCCCUUCCGGGUUUUCGGCUCAUCGAGACGCUCAUUCUUGCCUGAGUUGCGUACAAUCUCAGCGAGCUUUUCAUAUUUGUUUUUUUUUUUUUUUUUUUUUGUCCCUUAUUUUUGCCUGGACCGCCCUUUCGGGUUUUCGAUCCAUCGGGAAGCGCAUUUUUGCCUAGGCCGCCCUUUCGGGUUUUCGACCUACCACGCUGUUCUUUUCACAUUUCUAGGCAAAGUAUUUCUUGACUAUAUCGGCAUUCACUGGAUUUGGAAGCUCUACACCAUCCAUGUGUGUAAGGAUUAAAGCACCACCGGAGAAGGCCUUCUUGACAACAUAAGGACCUUCAUAGUUAGGCGUCCACUUGCCCCUUGGGUCGGGUUGCUGGCUUAUCCUCCUUUUCAAUACAAGUUCCCCUACCUUGAAUUCUCGAGGAUGGACUUUCUUGUCAAAAGCAGUCUUCAUUCUUGCUUGAUAUGACUGUCCACGAGCCAUGGCAUCCAUACGUUUUCCCUCAAUCAAAUUCAACUGAUCAUACCGGCUUUGGCACCAUUCAGCCUCAGAUAACUUUGCUUCCAUUAUCACACGGAGAGAUGGGAUCUCCACUUCCAAAGGAAGAACUGCUUCCAUACCAUAUACAAGAGAGAAAGGGGUUGCCCCGGUUGAACUGCGCACGGUAGUGCGGUAGCCAUGCAGAGCAUAGGGUAACAUCUCAUGCCAGUCCUUGUAAGUGGUUACCAUCUUCUGGACAAUUCUCUUGAUAUUCUUAUUGGCGGCCUCAACUGCACCAUUCAUCUGAGGUCUAUAGGGAGAAGAGUUAUGAUGCUCAAUUUUGAAUUCUUCACAAAGAACUUGCACCACAUUAUUGUUCAGGUUGGUACCAUUGUCGGUAAUAAUCUUGCUGGGAACACCAUAUCGACAGAUGAUGUUGUUCUUGAUGAACUUAGCUACCACUUGCUUGGUCACAUUGGUAUAAGAUGCUGCUUCAACCCAUUUGGUAAAGUAGUCAAUUGCCACUAAGAUGAAACGAUGACCAUUUGAAGCCUUCGGUUCAAUUCUUCCAAUCAUGUCGAUGCCCCACAUCGAGAACGGCCAUGGGGAUGACAUAACAUUGAGAGCGUGCGGAGGCACAUGAAUCUUAUCAGCAUAGAUUUGACAUUUGUGGCAUUUUCUGGCGUACUGGUAGCAAUCAUGCUCCAUAGUCAUCCAGUAGUAACCUGCCCGUAGCAACUUUCUUGACAUAGUAUGCCCUGUAGCAUGGGUCCCGAAGGUACCGUCAUGUACAUCAUGCAUUAACUGCUCUGCCUCAUGUUCAUCAACACAUCUUAACAAUACCAUGUCAUAGUUUCUCUUGUACAGAAUAUCUCCAUCUAACAGGAAUCUACUGGCCAAUCUUCUCAAGGUCUUCUUGUCUUGUUUGGAAGCACCCGGCGGAUACUCACGGCUCAGCAAGAACCGUUUGAUGUCGUAGUACCAGGGUUUAUAGUCAACCACAUUUUCGCCAGCCUGAUCGAUCACAUCCCCAAUAGCAAACACAUGGGAAGGUCUUUCAAGGCGUUGCACUUUGAUUACUGGCACAUCAUUCCAAUGGUUUACUCGGAACAUGGAAGAUAGAGUAGCAAGAGCAUCCGCCAUUUGGUUCUCAUCACGAGGAAUAUGAUGCAGCUCAACCUUUGUAAAAUAUGUCAGAAGACGUCUCGCAUAAUCACGAUAAGGAAUCAACUUAGCAUGGUGGGUCUCCCAUUCACCCUUUAUCUGAUUGAUGACGAGCGCAGAAUCUCCAUAGAUGUCGAGGUGUUUGAUUCUCAUGUCAAUUGCUUCCUCGAUCCCGAAGAUACAUGCUUCAUACUCAGCCAUGUUGUUGGUACAUUCGAACAGAAUUCGGGCGGUAAAGGGAAUGUGAUGCCCUUGCGGGGAUACAAUGACUGCCCCAAUUCCUUUGCCAUAAGCAUUGACAGCACCAUCAAAGACUAAACCCCACUUGCUAUUGGGAUCUGGACCUUCAUUAAUCAACGGUUCGUCGCAGUCUUUGGAUUUCAAAUACAUGAUCUCUUCAUCAGGGAAAUCGAAUUCAAUUGGUUGGUAAUCAUCAAGAGGUUGAUAAGCAAGGUGAUUGGCAAGAAUGCUGCCUUUGAUUGCCUUUUGAGUUUUGAACACAAUAUCAUAUUCAGACAAAAGCAUCUGCCAGCGUGCGAUCUUCCCAGUAACGGCCGCUUUCUCAAAGAUAUACUUUAUCGGAUCCAUUCUGGAUAUCAACCAAGUUGUAUGAUUCACCAAAUAAUGGCGCAGGCGUUUGGCAGCCCAAGCUAAAGCACAACAAGUCUUUUCAAGCAUUGUAUAUCGAGUUUCACAAUCGGUGAACUUCUUACUUAGAUAGUAGAUAGCAUGCUCUUUCUUUCCGGUUUCAUCUUGUUGACCAAGUACACAUCCCAUGGAUUCAUCAAAUACUGCCAAAUACAUAAUCAAAGGCCUUCCUUCCACGGGUGGGACAAGGAUAGGUGGUUCCAGCAGGUAAUUCUUGAUGCUAUCAAAAGCUUCUUGGCAUUCAUCAUUCCAUACAACAGGCUGGUUCUUUCUAAGUAGCUUGAAAAUCGGCCCGCAGGUUGCAGUCAUGUGAGAUAUGAAUCGGGAGAUGUAAUUCAAACGUCCCAAGAAACCUCUGACUUGCUUCUCUGUCUGUGGAGCUGGCAUUUCUCGGAUGGCCCGGACUUUAUCAGGAUCGACUUCAAUGCCCUUUUGGCUGACAAUGAAGCCUAAUAACUUUCCGGACCUGACACUGAAUGUACAUUUGUUGGGAUUCAAUCGCAGCUUGUAUUUUCUCAACCUUUCAAACAUCUUUGUUAAAUAUUCAACAUGCUGCUCCUCAUCUGCUGACUUCACAAUCAUGUCAUCCACAUAUACCUCAACUUCUUUGUGAAUCAUGUCAUGAAACAGAGUGGUCAUUCCCCUUUGGUAGGUAGCACCGGCAUUGAUUAGGCCGAACGGCAUCACUUUGUAACAGAAAGUACCCCAUGGAGUGAUAAAAGAUGUCUUUUCUCUAUCUUCAGGGGACAUUUUGAUCUGAUUGUAACCGGAGAAACCGUCCAUGAAGGAGAACACCUUAGAUUGAGCAGUAUUAUCAACAAUCACAUCAAUAUGAGGUAAUGGAAAGUUGUCUUUUGGACUGGCUUUGUUCAAGUCCCUGAAGUCAACACACAUCCGGACUUUACCAUCCUUCUUUGGCACAGGCACAAUAUUGGCAACCCAUUCGGGAUACUCAACUGUCAUGAGGAAACCCGCAUCGAUCUGCUUUUGAACUUCAUUCUUGAUCUUGAGGGCCAUGUCAGGAUGAGUCCUCCUCAAUUUCUGCCUGACGGGAGGACAUUCAGGCUUGGUAGGGAUCCGAUGCUCCACGAUCAUAGGGUCUAGACCUGGCAUAUCUUCAUAGGACCAUGCAAAAAUAUCCGGAUAUUCCCGGAGGAGUUGGAUGAUCUUCUGUUUAACCCCUUCCUCUAGAGUAGCACCAAUCUUGAUUUCUCGCUUGUUUUCCUCGGUACCUAUGUUGAUAAGCUCAAUCUCUUCUUGGUGAGGCUGAAUGGCUUUCUUUUCUUGCUCAAGUAACCGAGUGAUCUCAUACGGUAUGUCAUCACCUUCCUCAUCUUCGGCUUCAUAUACAGGGAAAUCAAAACUUGGAGGAACCGUAGGAUUACUGUGUUCAACGGGUUUAUUAUGGUUCAACCUGCAUAUAAUGAUUGGAUGAUUUUAGAAAGAGCUUUUUUUUUUCAUGCAGAUUUUUGAAACUAAUAAGAAAAUACAGACGUUUUGGUUUUUUCUGGCAUUACCAUUGUUUCCAAGGGAAAAAGCACUAAAAGAAAAGUAGUCGUGGAAGAAACGACAAAAUUUUAUUAACCAACGGCAAUGCCGAAACAAACAUGCCCUUACAGAAAAUAUCACUCUCGCUUUGGGCAGAGCGAGAGGAUUGUUAUUUUGAAAACAAAGCACUAAAGCAACAAGACACAUUACUCAGAAACAUGCAUGAUUGAAGGAAUGUCAAUGGCAUCCCAAUUCGUCGCAAUGCCUCCUGGUGUAACAAAUACAGGCCUGAGACCAGAUCCAGUGGCUUCUUCAGAGAUAACAUUAACAAACCCUGCACUGUGGAAGACUCCUGAGGAAACCCUUGACGAUGGAGAGAACCCGAGACCUUCUUUACGCUUGUUCUCACAGAGCUGUAUCACCUUGCCCCAGCCGGCAGUCUGACCUUCUUGGAUGGCUCUCUGAGCAUCUUUCAAUGAAGCCAUAGCAGCCCCAGCUUCCUUAGACUCUGCACCUUCGAUGGUCAAACCUUGGAAAGCAGUCCCUUCAGCAGACCCUGCUUCAACACAAGAAAAAGAAGACAACUGGCUGACUAAGUAUGCUUCUUCACCAUGGAUUGUAACGAGUUUUCCAUUCUUCACAAAUUUCAACUUCUGAUGUAAGGUGGAAGUAACCGCACCUGCAUCGUGUAUCCACGGUCUUCCCAGCAGGCAACUGUAGGAUGCAUUAAUGUCCAUCACUUGGAAGGUAACCAAGAAAUUCUCAGGGCCAAUAGUUAUCGGCAAGUCUAUCUCCCCCAGCACAUUCUUUCGAGAUCCGUCAAAAGCUUUGACCAAGAAAGUACUUCUCCUCAACGGGGUCCCACGGUAGCUCAACUGAUCUAGAGUUGUCUUGGGCAUUACAUUGAGAGAGGAACCGGUAUCUACCAACACAUUUGAUAUCAUGUCUGAUUUACAAUUCACCGAGAUGUGCAAAGCCAGAUUGUGACUCCUUCCCACUUCCGGCAACUCUUCUUCACUAAACCAGAGGUUGUUACAAGCAGUAAUAUUUCCCACUAUACCACCGAAACGAUCUACCGAGACUUCGUGGUCAACAUAUGCCUGCUCCAGCACUUUCAACAAGGUGUUCCUGUGAGCCUCAGAGCUCAAGAGUAGCGACAAGACAGAUAUCUUCGAAGGAGUUUGCAGCAAUUGAUCAACGAUCUUGUAGUCGCUCCUCUUUAUUAUUCUCAGAAUCUCGUCUAAAUUUGAAUCCUCUAUAGAUUUGCCUGGCUGAUUCACAUCUGUAGCAAUGGGUGAAACAACGGUUGGAGUUGCUUCUUUAACUGGUGGAGUAAUUGGCGUAGCUACCUUCUUCUGAAAUAACGGCGGACGAACCUUCCCGCUUCUCAGCGCUGCAGAAGUCCCUUCGGCAAUAUUGCUUACUGUGGCAAAGGAGGCUAGAGGCACCUCUACUCCAUUUUCUAUCAUAGUGGCAUUGUACUUGUAUGGCACUGCCUUGUCCGAAGCAUAAGGAAUUGGUCCUGGCAACCUUAUUACCAAAGGCUCAGCAUUCUUCUUCAAAGGUACACUCUUGACAGGCGGAUCGUGAAAAACCGGCACAACCACGCAAACAUCACUGACAGUCAGAAGAUUAUCAUUCAUCAAGCUUUGGAUGUCGUCUUGAACAGUAUAGCAGCCCAAAGGAUCACAGAGGCAUCCUAGACACUUGGCAUGAUCAUGGCUGAACAGAGAAGCUUUGCACAGCUUGAUGUGCAGAGGCACCAGAGGAGUAGCAACAUUGCGGACAUCAAGUCUAGGAGCUUCCUCACACACUUCGAUCAUAUUCACAGCGGCAUGAUUUGGUAGUGGAUUGUCAAGGACAUGUGGAACAUUGUUCUCAAAAGUCAGCUUUCCCUGAUCAAUGAGCUUCUUCACGAUAUACUUCAAAGCAUAACACCCCUCGACAUCAUGACCUAAAGCACCUUGAUGAAAGUCACAUUUGAGAUCAGACCUGAACCUUGGAGGCAACGGAUCAGGUGGGGGCUUACCCUGUCUAGUUGUACAAUGUCCUCUCUGGAGUAGAGUUGGAAGCAACUCAGCAUACAACAUUGGUAUAGGAGGAAAAGUUGGCCUAGUAUACUGCUGCUGCUGCUGUUGUUGUUGUUGUUGAACCGGCAACUGUUGUUUCAUCUGUUGGGCAAUUGCAUUGACGGGCACUUGAGGCUGGCCCGGUGGCAAAGGGUACUGAUGAUAAAACGGUGGGAAGAACGGAUGCUGAGAAUACGGCAUAUAUGGGUAUGACGGAGGCAUUUGAGCUGCAUUGAUAGGAGCAACGGUAGCCAUAGAUUGACCGGCUGCAGCUGACACCAUUCCCACUUCCGUUUCUUUCUUCUUGUGGUGUCCAUUACCAUACCUCUUCGAUGCACUCGUAGAAGAUUCAGCUUUCUCAAACACAAUGAUCCCAUCUCUGACUGCUUCCUCAAGACGGGUUCCCAUGGUGACCAUCUCCGAAAAGUUGUUCGGGGCAGCAAUGAUCAUUCUCUCAACAUAAUCUUUCUUCAAGGUCUUUAAGAACGUCUGGGUCAUUUCUUCUUCAUCUAAAGCAGGAGUGAUACGGGCAGCUGCCCCUCUCCACCUUUGCGCAUAUUCACGGAAACUUUCCUCCUUUUUCUGAGAUAGGGACCUGAGAAACUCCCUAUUCGGCUUCAAACGAGUGUUAAACCCGUAGUGGCUCCUGAAAGCGGUGGCCAGCUCAUCAAAAGUAUGGACAUCGUCUUUGCUCAGACUAGUAUACCACUCCGCAGCAUCUUCCAUCAGACUGUCUUGGAAGUAAUGGAUCAUAAGGGAAUCAUUGUCCUUGUAGUUGCCCAUUUUCCGGACGUAUUUGACAAUAUGAUUUUGAGGACAAGUCAGCCCGUUAUACUUGUCGAACUCCGGGACUUUGAACUUUUUUGGAACAUCUACCUUCGAUACCAAGCAGAGGUCCUGGGUUUUAAUGGAGUCUCCAUUUCCCCUGUUGGCCUUAAUUUCCCGUCGGAGCUCUUUGGCAAGUUCUUCCAUUCUCUCUUCCAUAGUUCCGGUUGUGGUAAUACUCCCGUGGUGUGCGUUGGCAUGGACAAAUAGAGGCACCGCAUUCACAAUGGGCUCGGUAACAGUUGUUGCAGCUUGAGUCAAGGCGGUACUAAUAGGAGUUAAGUUUGCCCCUGGGAUUGGGCCACUGUUGGUAGUACCAGAGGUCCCUGCCCCUGUGUUAGCAGUAUAGUACAGCGGAAGUCCGUAAGGAUACCCGGAUGGCAUGAUAGAGCGGGGAUCAGUUGUUACAGUAGGAGUCACAUUUGCAGCUGUAGAAACUACAGGAACUGGUUGUUCCUGAGCAGCCAACAGAGCAGUCAUAGCAUCAUGAGCUUUGGCCAAUUCCUCCCUUAGAGAUGCCAAUUCGGUACGAAGCUGUGUGUUCUCUUCUUCCAUAGCCCUUUUCUUUCUUCUGUAUUCUCUGGUUCGAUCAAUUCUAUCAGGUUCGUAAACUCUCUGAGCACGAGCCACUUUUCACACUGCGGCAGAGAAACCAGGAGGUGGUAAGCACUUGGAAGCCUUUGUGACCAAUGCAUGAUGCAUAUGAUGCAUGAUGUGCAAAUGCAAAUGCAAAAGACUUAUUUUCUCAUCGAAGGAUUUUUAAACAAAUUAGAAAUCUUGCAAAUAAACAAAACUACAUAGUAUUCUCAACAGAAAGACUUUGAAAUAAACAUAUGAAGCCCUCAAGCAUAGGAAGCAGUCGGAAGAUCAUCGGACUCGGAAUCUGAAUCACAGUAUCUGGCAAAGAAGUCUCGUCGUCCUCUGGCUCUCUUGGAAUCCCUCAUAAGCAGCUCGUCUUUCUCUUCCAAUUCCCUCCGGGCCUUAGCUAGCUCUUUCUUCAACAUUAAAUUCUCAUGAGUCUUCUGCUCAUCUCUACCAUCCAAAGUCAUGAUUAGAUUCUCGGCUUGAUUAUACCGAGCUUUCCACACUUGCUUCUCACGACUCUCCAUAGCUAGAUGCUCCUGAUACAUAUCCUGAGUCGCGGGGAGUAGAGGUAGAGGCAUAGAUGGAGUAGACGAAGACACGUAUCUCAUAGCUGGAUAAGGCAUACCAAUCUCCUCAGCUCGAUCUAUCACCCACUGAGUAUAGGCCUCAUGAGCAACACCGGAUCUCACACCUAGAUGCUUCACACUCUUCCUUCGAACCUUGGACCAAGCAUCCAUGAAAGCUUUCCUUUGUCCGGUAGGAGCAUUCGCAUAGAAGAAGAACUCUGGAGAUGUAGCAAGAUUGAUGGGCUUCGACUUCAUAGGGAAACCAAACUGUCUCAUAGCAAGCUCGGGAUUGUAGUUAAUUCCUCCCCGAGUACCAAGAAGAGGUACAUUGAGAAAGUCUCCACAACCCAUAAUGAUUUCCUUCACUUGAGCGGCAGGAGUGAGCCAGACGACCUCAUUAGGAGUGAGGGCCAUAAUCCGCUGCGAGUAGGACCAGUUCUCCGAGUUAUCAUGGAAGGAACUCGGAAGGUGCGAAAUAAACCACCUAUACAAAAGAGAUGUGCAGCAAAGAAUAUACCCACGGCCCUUGAGAGUCCUGUCAUGAAUGGCGUGGUAAGUAUCCGCUAGCAAAGUAGGAACCGGGUUCUUGGAAUGAAAGAUCUCGAUAGCAUUCAUGUCCACGAAGUUGUCGAGGUUCGGAAAGAGAAUGAGCCCGUAGAUAAGCAAAGCAAGAAUAGCCUCAAGUGUAUCCUGACGAGUAGUACCGAGAUUAGCCUGAUCAAGAAGAUACUUCGAAGUAAACCCCCGGAUGUGAGACUUGGUAAUAAGAUGGUUGGAGACGUCGGAAGUCUUGAGGUAGAGAUCCUUAGCAAUAACCAGAGGAGUAAGAGGAGUCCCAGGACCGGUGAAAGGCGUCUUCUCGGCUAUAGGUAAACCCACUAGAUUGGAGUAAGCCUCAAGAGUAGGAACCAACUGGAAGUCCGGGAAAGUGAAGCAACGGAAGCUCGGAUCAUAAAAUUGCACCAGAGUGUGCACUAGCUUCUCGUCCACAUCGGUUCGGAGCAAAGUAAGCAAUCCCCCAUACCGGAGUCGGAACCCUGUUUGGCUCUUGACCUUGAGCGCCAACUCUCUCAAACUAACCAAAUCCACUUCCUUGAACUUGUAGCACUUAGUCUUCUUCAUACCUGUGAUUAUUUACAAAAAAUUUCCAUUUGUUUAAGUCCUUCGAUGAAUGCAUGAAAAAUGUUUAUGCAUGAAUGCAUGUAUGCAUGAUUGUGUUGUUUAGUUACAAUGUGGGUUGAGAUUCAAAGUAACAAGGCCACGGAUGGACACGGUGUCCGGUGAACUAAGGCUUUGGAUAGUAGUAACCAAGGUUCUAACACAGUUCCCAAACUGCAACCUCUCUCACAUAUAUCAUGGUAGUACAGGACGACACCCGUUCCAUGUUUAUUUGUGAGAAGGUCUAGCUUGAGUGUAGUAUCGCGUGACGACUAAAGUUUGAGACAACACUCAAUUUAGCCACCGCACUACGUCCUAAGAAGGCUAGGAUGGGUUUGGUAACUACGGUUCAUAGCUUCGUCGAACAAUUGAAAGUGAAGUGCCUAAGCAUGACAACACACGCCGACAAUACCACCUUCAAAAUGCCUCAGCUAUGUGAGAUUGAUCGCAUAAUCCAAUACACGAGGCAACCCCCGGAUCGAAUUGUCGAUUAUAUCUCUACCUAAACAUAAGUUCACUCAGCCCGGGUAUAGGACUUUUGAUAUUCUCACCCCACACGUCAAAUGAAAAUAAACAAGUAUUCACAUGUGUAGGCAAUAAAAUAAAGCAUAAAUAUACACUAAGGAAAACUAGGCGCGACCCGCUAAAAAGAAUUUCCCCAGUGAAGUCGCCAUUUCUGUUAUCAUGGUUUUUGGGUGCCAAGCCAUUAAUUGGACUUGUACCUUUCGACCGUUGAUAUCUCUAUUUUUUCUUGGGAAGGGCAAAAUUGAGAAAAAACCCUUAGAUUCUAAGUUCGGGGGUCGGUUUUACUACGGGAAGGUGUUAGGCACCCGGAGUAACUAUAGUCCUCUAUAGGAGCCGUUUUCCUAAGUCUAUAUUCACGCUUAUUUUUACUUACUUUUGAAGAUGGGAGGUUUAUUUAGUUAAGAAUGAGGGGAGAGAAGUUGUAAGACUUUUUAAUUUUAUUUCGGCUUGGAUGAGUUUUGACUCAUUGCCUACGUACCGUUUUACGGGAUCAAAACCGGCGUAGUUCUUGCUAAAAAAAAGACUUGUUUUUCUUUUGUUUUAAUUGUUUGAUUUUAAGUUUUAAAAAAAGGUUUUGAAGAAGGAGAUUGGGAGGCUUCAUGAGCAUUAGAUUUAGCAAAAAAGGUGAGGUUUGAUUAGUGAUUUAGAAAGAAAGUCUAAAUGAUUAAGAUGAAUUGAAUUUUUCUUAAGAAAAAAGAGAAAGGAAAAAAAAAAUGAAGUGUUGACUUCAUACUUAUUAUGAAAAUUUUUGAAGUGAAGUUCAAUUGCUUUUUUUGAAAAAAAGAUGGAUUUUCCCUAAGUGUUCAAACCUAAGCGCUUAUCUAACCAUACAAUCCUAUGCAUACAUCUAAGGUGAGUGUGUGCGUGUCGGUGCGUCAUAGUGUCCAUAGUCCAUAUUACAAAAAUUGCCUAAAUACAUUCUAUGGCCCCUUUGCCAAGCUACAAACCAAUGAUAACAAAUUACAUUACCAAAUGAAUUAAAACUUGCAAAAAAAACAAAUGCUAGGCUAAAAAGUGGAGGGAAUGCUGAGUUUUUAUGGAGAUUCUGUUAGGUUUCUUCGGAAACACUUGGAUUUGGCUUUUGCUUGUUGAUUUCUGGCUUUGAACCGAAAAUAAAUCGGUGAUUCUUCUUUUCUCACUGAUUCCGUUUCUUCAUCUUCUUCGCCGGCUUAAAACCUUGCUUCUUUCCCUUUUCUUCUCCUUUUUCAACGCCUCUGUGAUCGGUGUUGGAGUUCUUCGCCACUGGGGAAGAAUUCUCACCUUGAAUUGCAGAGGGAUCAACUCAGUGAUGAAGAUUCGCCAUUGAAUCUCUGAGAGUUUGAUGCAAAAAUCAAUGAAUUUGUGUAUGAAUUUUGGUUCUGGAAAUUUCUAGGGUUCUUGUGUUCUUGAUGAACUUGAUGAUUUUUCUGUUUCUGAUCUAACUGAAUGGAGAGAGAAAGUCUCAUUGUGUUUGUUGAGUUGGCGUGUGAUUAAUGGCUUUGAAUCUGACUCACUGUUUAUAUAGUUGACAUGUGUACACUUGAGCCAAUGAAAUUGUGACACGUACCCUGGACUUGCUCACUUGGGCGCUGCUUGCUAUUUUAAGGACCAAUCUGCAAAUUGUGAAAAUGACAAGGACUGGACUGCAAAAUUAAAAAAAACUUGAAAUGAAAUAAAUAAUAAAAAAACAGUUUGGACAAAAAUGCAAUUUUGGGACCUCAAUUGAGGGACCAAAAUGCAAUACAAAAUAAAAUUUGAAUAAAAAACGUAAUUUGACCAAACGUAAAGUGAAACAAAAAUAAAAUUGACAAAACGGACUAAAACGAACCAAUGGCCUAAAUGAGGUACUUCAAAGUAACCUCCCCAUGCCAAAAUUUCAUGUGAAAUGACCAAAAUGCCCCUAGGGCUAAAAAUGACCUAAACUGACUCAAACAGACUUGACACUGACUUAGAUGCAAGUUUGAAAUGAAUUUAAACAGGGUUUACUGACGAAAUGUCAAAAAAUGAAUUUGAAAAGACUCGGAGAUAGUCACAAGGAUAAAGAUGGGUCCCACUGCAGGAAAUGACCAAAAUACCCUUCUGUAUGACCUUUUGCAAAUUUUGAAAUAAACUGUAGAAAAAGCAAUGUAAUGAUUCAGAGGCACUUUUGAAUGACUUACAAGACAAGUAAAGACAUUUUGAAAGGUUUUAUGCAAGAAAAACAUAGGUAAAAUUGUGAUUGAAAAUACUGCGAAGCAGAGACAAUUUGAACUGUGCAGUUGAAAUUUGAUAAUUGACAAAGUUUAAAAUGAAAUUGGGCCCAGUAUUUUUAGGUCCAAAAACAGGGUAUAACACAUCCCAUUUAGCAUUCCCUCCACUUUCUUUAGCCUAGCCUUUAUCUUUUGCAAGUUUUAAUUCAUUUGGUAAUGUAAUUUGUUAUCAUUGGUUUGUAGCUUGGCAAAGGGGCCAUAGAAUGUAUUUAGGCAAUUUUUGUAAUAUGGACUAUGGACACUAUGAUGCACCGACACGCACACACUCACCUUAGAUGUAUGCAUAGGAUUGUAUGGUUAAAUAAGCGUUUAGGUUUUAAACACUUAGAGAAAAUCCAUCUUUUUUUCAAAAAAAAAUAAUUGAACUUCACUUCAAAAACUUUCCUAAUAAGUAUGAAGUCAACACUUCAUUUUUUUCCUUUCUUUUUUUCUUAAGAAAAAUUCAAUUCAUCUUAAUCAUUUAGACUUUCUUUCUAAUCACUAAUCAAACCUCACUUUUUGCUAAAUCUAAUGCUCAUGAAGCCUCCCAAUCUCCUUCUUCAAAACCUUUUUUCUCAAAACUUAAAAUUAAACAAUUAGAACAAAAAACAAGUCUUUUUAGCAAGAACUACGCCGGUUUUGAUCCCGUAAAACGGUACGUAGGCAAUGAGUCAAAACUCAUCCAAGCCGAAAUAAAAUCCAAUUCUACUUCUUCUCACCCCCAUUCUUCACUAAUCAUACUUUCUUUUUUACAAAUAAGCAAUAAAACUAAAGCGUAGAAAUAAACUUAGGAAAGCGGUUCUUAUGGAGUACCAUAAUCGCUCCGGGUGCCUAACACCUUCCCGUAGCGAAAACGACCCCCGAACUUAGAAUCUAAGGGUUUUUCUCAAUUUUGCCCUUCCCAAGAAAAAAUAGAGAAUAUCAACGGUCAAAAGGUUCAAGUCCAAUUAAUGGCUUGGCACCCAAAAACCAUGAUAACAAUAAGAAACUGAAAUAGUGUAUUUUGUUUAUAACCCUCCGUCCCAUAAAAACCGAGCCAUUUGCAAAAAAAUAUUGUCUCAGAAAAAUUGACUCAUUUCACUUUUCAAUACAAUAUUAAUUACUUUUUUUUUCCUUUCAAUUAUAACACUAAUUAAUAUUACUUUCACCACUCCCAAUUUAAUAUAUUCUAAUUUGCAUUUAUGAUAAAGAAGAAUGCACCAAUAGUUACUCAAAACCAUUUUUCUCUCUCUUUUUACUUAUACAUAUUUUCUUAAUAAGUGUGAAAUGAGCUAAGAGCUGAGCUCGAGCUCAGUUAAAAUGGGACGGAGGAGGAAUGUAAUUCAAAGUAACUCAAUUUUAUGCUAUUUAUUUAUUUAUGCUGAAGCCUCAUUAUAAUAGUAUAUAGUGAUAUGUGUGAGAAGCAUAGGAAAAGUACAUAUGGUGAUGAAUGAUGGAACAAGCUUAAAGUCAUAAUUAUUAUUGUUCAAUCAUAAAUAGAUGGUCCCCCAAUUAGAAAAGUAUUUAUGAUCCCCCAUUUUAAAAUGACCCUCGUCCUUUUUUAGAAUUUUAAUCUUAAUAAUGGUGAUAUAUCAUAAUUAAAUGGAUGCAUUUAGGAAGUUUAUAAAUAAUUUUAUAGGUAUUGAUGAUUUUACAUUAUCGGAUCGUAUGACACAUCAUUUAAAAUAUGUCAUGUUAUAGUUUUUUAGUUUAAAAAUAUGAAGAAAAAGAUAUGUCACGUCAGUACUUUUGAGUCCAAAAAUAUAAAAAUAGGCCAAAACGAAUUAUUCUAAAAUUUGGGACAAAUUUCAUGAAAAUAAAGACCUAGAGUGUAGUUAAGACUUAUAACUAUUUUAAACAUUCCUUAAAAAAACUAAUCUAUAAAAUGACAUACGAUUAAUUAUAAAUAUGAUUGACAUAUACUCUAAAAAAGGAAAUGUUUGCAUAUGGUAUUUUAAACACCGUUCUCGUGAACUUAACUCAAUUGAUACGGACAAUGCUUAAUAUGUGCAAGGUCUAGGGUUUUAACCUUGAUCACAAAAAAAACACCAAUAUUUUUUUUCGGGGAUAUUAAACACCAAUAUUCUUUGGAUACUUCUACCCUAAUAUCCAUUACUAAAGUAUUUUAAAUUAUUUAUUUAAUUUUUGUGUGGCUUUUGAUGGUCUAAUCCUAAUUUGUAGAGCAACAUGCAAAUAAUUGGACUAUAAAAGUUACGUGCACAAUUUUUCAUCAAGAAUUUUUUGGCAGCACGCAUUGAAAAUUUGUGUCUCAUUAAGAAUUUGUUAGCACUACGCAUGCAUAUUCUUUUGGGCCUGUCAUCCUGUGUAUUUUCAUUUUCAACAGUAAUUUGUCGGCACUACUAAGCAUCUAUAUCUAUCUUUGUUUUGAAACAGCAAAACUUAUAAAAAAAUCCACUCUUUAGACAAAAACGAACAAAUACCGACAAUUCAAAAACUACAAAAUAAAACGUCAUAUGUAGGCAGAACACAAAAAAAACACCAUAACAUAUCUCACCUCACCAAACAAAAACCUACGUUCAACCGCCAUAAGAAAACAAUCACCAAACCCAACUUCAUCACUCAAACCAAACUCCAUCGCAAACGACCACUGAAAACAAAAUCCAUAAACAUCCAUCGUCCGCUACUCACCCCAAUACCUCCAAAAACCAUCUUAAACAUCAUCAUCUUCUCAUCACCAUAACCUAGCCCAAUUUAACACCCGAAAAGUCCUAUUCCAACUCUCCUUCGGGUUCUACCACCCCUCAUCCCCUGGUCCACCAAAGAAAACAUCAUAAAUAUCCCAAAAUAAACUUGACUCACCGUAUAUUUAUAUCUAUAUCUAUAUCUAUAUCUAUCUAUAUAUCAAUUAAUUCAGGCUCUCAAGUUAUAUCUAUUAAUUUAGGCUCUCAAGUUAACCUCUUCACAACUCACCAUGUUAUAUAUAUCAUAUAGUCUAAUUUUGGCCACAUCAAAUAAAUUCUAAUGUGACAUCUUCCAAAACACACCAUUCCUUAUUCUCUCGUUGCCUUGCUUCAUAAUUUAUGUAUUAUUACAUCUCAUUCCCUUACGAAUUCACAAUUAAAUGACGUUUACUACAUGUCAUAACUCUCAUGUAAUAACGUCAAAUAAGAUGCAUGACCUUAAAUGUCAAAUCAUUAUUAUUAUUAUUAUGAGAGAAGAAGUGAAUGAAUAAUAUUCUCAUUAUUGAUCAAAUGAUAGAGGUUACAACUUAUAUAGUCAUGGUCUAGGAAUACAGUAAUACAAUAGUGGUAACAUCGAAUAUAAAAACUAAGAUAGCUAACUCUACUUGAUAAUAACUCUCAUGUAAUGUCAAAUAAGGUGCAUAACCUUACAUGUCAAAUCAUUAUCAAAUUUAUUACGAAAUUAAUCAAGAACCAAACCUUGAUCCAACAUGGAACUCAAUCAACAAUCAACCCACUUAUUUUGUCGUUAACAUGUUUGUAUGUUUUUUUCUUUUGUUCUCUUUGUAUCAUUUGAUUAUUACUUUAUUGUUUAGAUUCUUUAGAUUGAAUGUGUUUUUUCCUUCAUCUCCUAUGCAAUUAAUAUAUGGACAUGUUUUAAUUCGGUAAUAACGGUGUGCUCAUCAAAUUGGCAAAAUGUUUCCACAUAAAAAAAAAUAAAAAAAUAAAAAAUGUAGCGGUUCAUGUCUAAUAUGAAUCCGGUUAAUAAAAUAAUAUUUUUUUCUCUCCAAUUUUUGCUAAACAUAGGACACCAUUGUUAUUUUUUGCAUGUUAUUUUUUAAGCGACACGUUUUAUAGAUUUUUUUUAGGGAACAUUGUAUGGAAUUUUAGGAAAUGGAUCUCGCCAACUUAAUUUUUUUGUCAGGUUGUCUAGUGGUUCGAGUUCACACAUAUUAGAGAUAUAUAGUUUAGUUACAAGUAGUACUAGUCCUGGUAGUAUAUAUAGUUGUAACCACCUCAUAAGUGGGAUACUUUUCACUCAUUAGUAAUAUUUCAUUUCUAUCAAUACAAAGAGUUUGUUAGAUUUUGCUCCUUCGAUCUAUGGAUGCCAUGUUUCCUAACAACACAUUUUAAAUGUGGUGAAAUAGAGUAUCCGAGUUUAAACCCUAACCCCUACAUAUAUUAUGCGAUGUCCUUAUCAAUUAAGCUAUGUUCACCGGAAUAUUUCUUUCUGUUUUCACAUCUCAACCAUCAUAUAACCUCUCUCUCAAAUUCCAAUAUCAAUGUCAUCUCCUCUUUAUAAUUUAAUGGUCUAGAUUCCCACACUAAUUCUUCAACUUCUUUUUUACCAUGUAUCAUUUUUGUCACAUCACUUAUUUUUCAACAUGCAAGACUUUAUUCCAUUUUGCAUAUCCUACACUCCAUGUUUGUAAUUGCAGACGAUCUAAUUUCUCAUAAAUGAUCUCAACCUAGGAUCAUGGAUAUGGUCAAUAUCAUGGAUACCGCUAGAAAAUUCAUUUGUAGACCACAAAUGAAUUUUCUAACGGUAACCACAAAUGGAUUUAUGGUUAUAUAUAUAUAUAUAUAUAUAUAUAUAUGCGCGCACGCUGGGGGCCAUGAGUGAGAUGAGAACUGAGGGAGAAGGAUCCACAUAUGCAAUGGUUGCUAGUGAAAAUCCUUCCUUAUCUUAGUUUCAAAGGAUUUAUUCCAUUGCAUCUAUAUAGAAAAAGAGAAAAACUAAAAAUGUGUAGUUCUGUUAUUGAUCAAACAAAUAGCUAACUAAAACUAUAUUAACUAUACCCUCUAGAUGCAGACAAAUAGAAUGCUCAUAUACAUAUUCCCACCAAUAUUCUUCACUUCAAAUGAAUAUAACUAAAUGUGUCGGGGUCGUUUAGGUUUCAAAUAUCAACAUGUGUCGGACACUAAACACACAUCAAUUUGAAGUGUCAAUGCUACACACUUUAAAACCUUUGACCUAAGCAAGCUUACCAUGUCUAUUUUACAUUAAAACUGUUUUCCAUGCUAGAGUAAAACAUUUACUUAUGAUUUGUAUUUAAUUAGUUAGUUAUUCCUAACAAAACUAUAAAUCUUGUAGAAUAGAGAAGGAUGUUAGUUUAAACCUGUACACACGGCAAAAUGAUUGUUUUGCCUUAAUUUAUCCUUCACAUGAGAAUGGAAUUCAAGAUACUGUGGAAAAAACCUAACUCACCCAACUGCAAUUAUUCAAAGCUAUAAAAUUCAACUAAUAAAGAUUUAAAUACAUGCCAUAUAACUAUCUAAUUCAAUCCAUUUAAUAUUAGCAAUAACCACUAUUUUAUUUUAAGAAUUCUUGCACAAGAUAUGUUCAAUUCCAUCAUCAUAAACUGAUUACUUAUUAGCAUCAUCUCUUAAAUUCAAUGUAAUACUAAAUUGCAUAAAAAAAAGUCACUUAGGUUUGAUUUUGUUUAAGCAAAACCUCCUUAAUCACUUUUUCCAAAUUCAUGUAUGAACAACCACCAGGUCUCGUGUCCUCCUCCGCCUUCGUCUUCAUCUCAAUUAUCUUUUUCCACAUCUUCUUUCCUUUCUCCCCCUCCAUCAAUUCAUUGACCAAAUUCUCUACCUCAUCUCUCUUCACAUUGGUGUCAAUUUCCAUGCCAAUCUCCCAUGUAUUGCAAAUAUAUCUGCAGUUUGCUGGCUGAUCAGCAAAAAAUGGCCAACACAACAUUGGAACUCCAGCAGAUAUGCUUUCAGUGGUUGAGUUCCAUCCACAAUGAGUCAAGAAUCCACCAAUUGAAGGAUGGUUUAAUACUUGCUCUUGCGGGCACCAGCCCGCGAUUAGGCCUCUAUCUGAAAUUUCAUUGACAAACUCCGAUGACAAAACAACUGAGCCACCGAUGACAAGAUCGGGCCUAAUGAUCCACAAAAAGGGUUGCUUGCUAUUUGCUAAACCCCAUGCAAACUCUAACAGUUUUUCUGCCGUCAUAACUGUCAUGCUCCCAAAAUUCACAUAAACAACGGACCUCGGUUCCUUGGAUUCAAGCCAACCAAGACACUUGUUAUCUUCUUUCCAAAGAUUGGUACUUAAACUUGCCAAGUGAUUAUGUGGACUUUGACUUAAAAGUGAAGAUAAAGGGCCGAUACCACAAAUAUUUGGGAACGUCGAGGAGAGAACAUUCAUUACAUCCUUCUCAAGUUCACUAGAAGUAUUAAAAAUAAAAGCAGACGCUUUGUGAGCCCUUCCUGCUGCUUCAACGAUAAAUUCUACCAUCGAAUCAUUUGUAUCUGUAAUCCUUAUAAAGUCAGGCAGAUCCUUCAGUCGAAAGUUCUGCAAUCCUGGAAUACAAUCCACUUUAGUGUCCAAAUAUCCGUUUGUCAGAUAACUCUCAUCUACAUGUCAAAUUUAUAAAAGUUGUUAGCUGGAAAUAAAAUCUCCAUACUCCUAAUACAUGUCAUUUGAUUUUGAACACUUUAACUAUUCUACAUAUAUGAAGAAAGCAAGAAGAUUAAUUGUUACCUUUUAGUGGUAUGAGACCUUUAUCCAACAAUGUACUAAAAUGAAUAAAAGUCAAAAAUGUACAUGCAUUGGAUGGACUAAAGAAAACAGAAGGGAUUGAAAGUUCUUCAGAAGCUUGUAUGGUAAAAGACAUGCCAAUAUCAGAAACUAUGCAAGUAACUGGAGGGACAAGACCAGAUGUUGCAGAGUCAUUUAGUCUAGCAAGAAGUUCGCGGAAAGGUUGUAGGAAGUUCUUUCUGAUUGAUUUACAAAGAGCGUAAAUGUCUUGACUAACAUCGCCAUCACCAUCCGUUGGAGUUAAACCAUCCGGAAUAGUCUCAAAGCUAAAAUCAGUGAAACCAUCAAAGGCAUUUGGACCUCUUGACUUGAGCAACCGUUUGUGGUUGUAUUCAGUGUUUACAUAGGUUAUGUGAAAUCCUCUAAGGUGAAGAAGUUUUGCUAGUUUCAACAAUGGAUUGAUAUGGCCUUGAACUGGAUAUGGAAUUAACACAGCAUGUGGUUUUUUAUCACUCAUUUUUGAGUUUUUGUGUUUGAAUGUUGAGCUAAGGGAAGCCAAUGGUUUAAUAAAGAUAAAGCCAAUGUUUCUUGGAUUUGUGUAAAAGAAGAUAAGAGACAAAAGUCAAGGAAAGCAAACUCAAAUUCUAAGUAAUAUGUAACACAAUAAUUGAUACAUACUUAUCAAGUCACCACUUUUUGUUAUAGAAGGAAAACAAUUUUUCAUUAAAAAGUUUAUUGAACAAACUUAAGCAUGCCUUUUGGUUUGCGGUGGCGAGAAUUGAUUUGAAUGAAUUUGUUUGAUAAAAUUAGUAUCAGGUUAAAAGUGCGUUGAAUAUAAAAUAAUUUGUGUUUAUAUAAAUUUACGUAAAAUUGAUUUGAACUAUAAAUUGAAGACUAAAAAUCGAUUAUAAAAACAAAAUUUUGAUAUCUUAACUUUAAAUUACGAGCAAUUUGGAGACAAAAUCAAUUCUAUUUAAUUUGAGAACACAUAACCAUAGGGUCUGACUAGGCUUAUCUAAGAUCCCUAAUGUAACCAACUUGCAUCUAAUCAUAACUAACUUAUAACUAUCUUGAAAAAUAUCAAACUAAUUUUAACAAAUCUGAAACUAUAUCUAACACAUACUUGCAUGGAAUUGCAACCAUUCAGUAGAAAGAUAUUAUCAAACAAAAUCUUCAUAUGCUUUAGUCAAAAAAAAGGAAAAUCUUCAUAUGCUUGUGGACCAACUGAUCCAUACGUUUCAGUUUCAAAAUUGAACUAGAUGACACUUUUAUUCAAGUAAGUGUAAGAUAGUUCUGACAUCAAAGAUUUUUGUUGUACAAAGAAAAUAAUCAUGACCACUUAUUUAUUUUAUAAUAGUCUAUUGGCUAUUAUUUUCCAUGCUUGAAUCAGUCAGACAUUGGACAUCACAAAAAAAAAUUGUCCUUUUCAACAAAGGCUCAAGAUUAUCUCCAAAGUCACAAUUGCAUAAAAGCCAAAUUUACUUUUAUUGUGCAGAGAAAAGUGGAUGUAUAUUAUCAACACUGCCUUCCAUAAGGGCUUCGUGUCCUCUAAUUUUUUUUUUUACUAGUCUUUGUUAUGUCCUUUAUCAUGUCUAUGAGGUAUCAACUCAAUGGUAAGAGUUUGAGCUUUUAACCUCAAGGGAAAAAGUACAAUUCCCCUUAAUAACAGUGGUAAAAAUGCUCAUUGUUGUAACUUUAAUUAAUAAACCCUUAUAUUGACUAAUAGGAAUGUUAAAAUAUUUCUUGAAAUCUCAUGUUGAAAGUUUGUUCUUCUUUUCGGUUUGAUUAGUGUUCCCAUGCACUAGGCGCAGUUGUUUGUUGUUUUCAGCUUGUUGUAAUUUGUAGCUUGCGCAAGGCGAAGGAUAUAGCUGACUGAGGCGCAGGUGUGCAUCAAGAUCUAUAGAUAAGCAGGUUUUGCAUCAGUUUUCAGGGUAAAAAAGUGGGAAUUCUAAGGUAACAAAAGAGGGAAUUUGUAGGGUUAAAAGUUCACAUAUAUAGAUAAGAAUUUGUAGGGGACAUUGAUGAUUUCACACAAUUUGCAUUUGCAUCAUCGGUGAAUGUUUUUGAAUGUUCAUAGAGGAAAGAAACUUUGAAUUCAAAUGCUUUCAAAUCAAUCUAUGCAACAAGAAGCUGACAAAGUAGUGCAGAGAAAUUUUAUAAACGAGCUAAAGAAGAAUAUAAAUUUAAUAUUAUUAUGAUUUUGAAGUAUUGUCUUACUUCGAAGUAUGAACAGCAAUGUACCAUACUUAAGAACAUAGCAAGACCUAAAAUACAAAUGAUUUGUUCCUAACAAAACUAUAUAUAUUGUAUAAAAGUAACUUAUGUUUGAUUUUGUUUAAGCAACACCUCCUUAAUCACUUUCUCCAAGUUCAUGUAUGAACAACCUCCAGGUCUCGUGUACACCUCCGCCUUUUUCUUCAGCUCCAUGGCCUUUUGCCUCAUCUUCUUUCCUUUAUCUCAGGACAUCAAUUCAUUGACCAGUUUCUCCACGUCCUCCCUCUUUACAUUUGUAUCAAUUUCGUUUCCAAUCUUCCAUUCAUUGCAAAUAUAUCUUCAGUUUGCUGGCUGAUCUGCAAAAAAUGGCCAACACAACAUUGGAACUCCAGCACAUAUGCUUUCAGUGGUUGAGUUCCAUCCGCAAUGAGUCAAGAAUCCACCGACUGAUGGGUGGUUCAAUACUUUCUCUUGUGGACACCAACUUGCUAUUAGUCCUCUAUCUGAAAUUUCUUUCAAAAAUCAGAUGAGAAAACCACCGAGCCACCAAUGACAAGAUCAGGCCUAAUGAUCCAUAAAAAUGGUUUCUUGCUGUUGGCCAAACCCCAAGCAAACUCUAAGGCUUCUCUUGAGACUUAACAGUGAUGCUGCCAAAAUUUACAUAAACAACAGAUCCUGGUUCUUUUGAUUCAAGCCAUUCAAGACAUUUAGUAUCUUCUUUCCAAAGAUUACAGUCUAAAGAUGUCAAGUGAUUUUGUGGACUUUGAUUUACAAAAGAAGCUAAUGGACCAAUUGUGUAUAGAGAAGGGAACAUAGAAUAGAAAGCAUUCAUAACAUCACUCUCAAGUUCAUUAGAAGUAUUGAAUACCAUACCAGAAGCUCUAAGACAUUUAUCUGCCACUUCAGUGUUAAAUCUUAUCGUCAAGUCAUUAGGAUUUUUUGUCUUUAUUAACCUAGGAAGAUCCUUCAAUCUGAAGUUUUUCAAACCUGGGAUCCAGUCAACUUUCGUGUCCAGAUAUUCAUUUGUUAGAUCACUCUCAUCUGCAUGUCAUAAUUGCAAAAAUCAAUAGCUUAAAGUCAUAUGUAUAAAUAUAUAUCAUGGUUUAAAAUCACAUUAACAAUAAUAAUUUUGCCUGUGCUAUCAUAUUGAUAUUGCAUAUAAUCCCAAUCAAAUCUGGCUGAUGAAACCUCAAUUGUGAUUAUAGAGACAUCGCAACCUUGAUGUUCGGCCCAUAUUGUGACCGCAAAGCUUUUUUAAAAACCAUAACAUACACACAAAAACACACACAGAUCUCCUAAAAAGAAAAAGGGAACAGAAAUGAUUACCUUUGAAUGGUAGUUGACUAUUCUGAUACAUUUUAGGACUGAGCAAACAAGCCAAGAAAUAACAUGCUCUACUUGGGGAAAAAAGAACAACUGGGAGUGCAUGUUCUUCAGCAGCAGCUACUGUAAAUGGCAUGUAGCAAUCAGAAACUAAGCAAGUGACUGGGGGGAUAAGACCAGCAGUGGCAGAGUCUUGAAGUUUAGCAAGAAGUUCAUCAAAGAAGUGGUGAAAGUUCGUUAUGAUUGAUUCACCAAGAGAGUGUAGGUCUUGACUAAUAUCACCAUCACCAUCCUUUGGAGUUAAACCAUCUGGUAUAGUCUCAAAGUUAAAGUCAGUGAAACCAUCAAAGGCAUUUUCACCUCUUGAUUUAGCAAACGUUUGUGAUUGUAUUCAGUGUUAACAAAGGUUUAUGUGAAAGCCUCUUAGGUGAAGCAGUUUUGCUAUUUUCAACAAUGCAUUGAUAUGACCUUGAACUGGAAAUGGAGUUAAUUAACACUGCAUGUGGCCUUUUCUCUUCAAAGUUGGUCAUGUUUGAUAUUUUUCUUAUGUAAGAAAACAGAGAAAAAACUGAGGUGAAAAAUCUAUGAGGCCUCUAUAACAAUGAGUAAGUUUUGUUACAUAUCUAUUAUCUAUUAUAUAGUAUAAAAAAAUUCUUAAGAAUAGAAAAACCAUUUUUUUUUAAUAAUUCAAUUACUGUCUAAUUCAUGUUUAUCUAAUUUUUAGUAUUUUAAUAAUUGAGAAGAUAAUAAUAUUUUUUUUAAUGUUGACGUUCCGAUUUUUAGAGAAAAUGGGUUCUGAUAAUUUGGAGUUCGGUCGUGAGGUAAACAUCACCUUACCAAGAAUUGAGAAGAGAAUAAAAUAAAAUAUAAUAACAUGAAUCUAACUGAAAAAUGAGGAGAUUGAAACUCCGAAAGCAACGUCUGCAUGUUGAAAGGAGACCACUUUCUAUACACACACAAUGGUGUUCAGACGGGUACAGACUUGCCAAUCUAUUUAUUAUGACCAACUAAACAAACAUACGAUUUUUAAACGUUAUCUAUGCGGACAGACUCUGGACCAUUGUUCAAGUCACAUGACUUUUAAACGUUAUCAAUUUGGUGCGCUUUUAAUCGAUUUUGAGGCUAAAAGACAUCCCAAUCGUAAGAUAAAAGAGUAUUUAGUUUGGUUUGGUUCAGUUGAUUUUUAAAAUAAAAUUUAAACCAAACCAAACCAAUAUGAUUUGAGUUGUAUUGGUUGAUGCGGUUUUUUUGAGACAAUACAAUUUUUUGUUUCCAACAUUAAAAUCGAGUUAAAAAGCUAUAACACAACAUAUUUUCAAUAAUGUUUGAAACAAUGUUUUCAAUUUCAUCCAACAUUACAAUUUUAUUUUCACAAAACAAAAUAGACGAAAUUUAAAAUGUGGACAAAAAGUAAUCCUAUUAUUUAAUAAAUGUAAAAGAUUAAGAUUUAUUAUUCUUAAAAUUUUAUUUUAUAAUUUUUUUAAUUUUUGAAAUAGAAAGCAAAGAAGAAACUUAACGUACAAGGGAAAAAAAUAUGCCGUUUUAUAAAAGUUUUUAUUGAGUUUCUAUGAGUAUUGGUGUAGGUGACAUAGGUUUAAUUUGGUUAGGUGACAUAGUUUCUAUGAGUAUGUCGUUUUACAAAAUAGUUUUUUUGCAUUUUUUGGUAUAUAAGAAGAAACAUAAACUAGUAUACAUAUGAUUUUUUGACAAAAUGGAUCCUUCACAUGAUAAUGGAAUUCAAGAUACUGUGAAAGAAUUCUUAUUCACCCAACUUAACAUAUUUAAACUUGUAGGAUUUAUAUUAUAAAGUUAAUAUACAUGCCAUAUAAUUAUCCAAUAUGCAUAUAUUCAAAACACUUAAAAUUAGCAAGAAUCACUAUUUAAGUUCAGGAACUCUUGCUGAAGAUGACUUCACUUACAUCAGAACUUAAAUUCAAUAGGGGAAGAUCAAUUAAUUAUCGUUGAACUGAAUUGCAUAAAAAAGUUACUUAAAUUGAUUUUGUUUAAGCAAAACCUCCUUGAUCACUUUGUCCAAGUUCAUGUAUGAACAACCUCCAGCUCUCGUGUUUUCCUCCACUUUCUUCUUCAACUCAAUUGCCUUUUGCCGCAUCUUCUUUCCUUUCUCUCCUGACAUCAAUUCAUUGACAAGUUUCUCCACCUCUUCUCUCUUUACAUUCGUAUCGAUUUCCAUCCCAAUCUCCCAUUCAUUGUAAAUAAGUCUACAGUUUGUUGGCUGAUCACCAAAGAAUGGCCAACACAACAUUGGAACUCCAGCACAUAUGCUUUCAGUGGUUGAGUUCCAUCCGCAAUGAGUCAAGAAUCCGCCAAUUGAAGGGUGGUUCAAUACUUUCUCCUGUGGACACCAACUUGCAAUUAAGCCUCUAUCUGAAAUUUCAUUCACAAACUCAGAUGACAAAACGACUGAGCCACCAAUGACAAGGUCAGGCCUAAUGAUCCACAAAAAGGGUUUAUUGCAAUUGGCCAACCCCCAAGCAAAUUCCAACAGUUGUUUUGGUGUCAUAACUGUAAUGCUUCCAAAAUUCACAUAAACAACGGAUCCCGGCUCCUUGGAUUCAAGCCAUUCAAGACACUUAGUAUCUUCUUUCCAAAGGUUGGAACCUAAAGAAUCCAAUUGAUGAAUUUGUGGAGUUUGGUUUAAUAAUGAAGGUAAAGGGCCAAUGGGGUAAAGAGAAGGAAACAUAGAGGAGAGAGCAUUUAUUACAUCACUCUAAAGUUCAUGGAAAGUAUUCAAAACAAUUGUAGAGUCUCCAAGAACUUUAUCAGCCGCAUCAAUUACAAAGUCUAACAUAAUAUCAUUUGGAUCUGUUGUCCUGAUACUGUCAAAGAUAUCCUUUAACCGAAAGUUUUUCAAACCUGGAAUCCAAUCUACAUUAGUUUCCAAAUAUCCAUUUGUUAGAUAGCUCUGAUCUGCAUAUCAAAUGUAUCAGUUAAUAUCUUGAAGGUUAUACAUACAUCCGUACAUACAUGAGUAUUUUGUUUUCGACAAAAACAUACAUAUAUAAUAAGGUAUUAUAAAUUGAAUAAAAGUCAUUUAUUGAUGUAUAAAUUUUAAUUUUGAAGUUUUAUGAAAUUUGUGGAGUUCCUCUAUUCAAUAAGAGUUUUUAAUUUGAUGGUUGCUUUAUUGAAAUUUAGUGUCUACAUUGAGUUUUAUAUUAACUGAAACUAUAUCAAGUGUUACUCUUGGAGUAAGUUGAUUAUCUCGCACACGACCAUUUAUAUAGAUUUAAUUCAUAUAUAGAGUCAAAGUAAAAGUUUUUUACACCGUCAAUAAAUCAUAAGUGUCAGAAUAGUGUAGCAAAAUUAAUAUUAAUCUCUCUAUAAAUAUAUACUUUAUGAAGAAAAAAACUUAACUUAGUACCUUUGAGUGGCGUGAGACCUUUUUCUACAAAGGAACGUAAGUGGUGAAUACUCAGUAACAAACUUGCACUGGAUGGAAAGAAGAUAACAAUUGGUAGUGCAAAUUCUUCAGCAGCUUGUAUAGUAAAGCUCAUAAAAUAAUCAGAAACUAAGCAAGUAACUGGUGGAACAUUGGCAGAGUCAUUAAGUCUUGUAAGAAGUUCACAAAAAGGUUUAAGGAAAUUUUUUCUUAUAGAUUGAGCAAGAGAAGGUACAUCUUGACUAACAUCACCAUCACCUUCUAUCGGUGUUAGACCAUCUGGUAUGGUUUCAAAGCAAAAACCACGGGAACCAUCUAAGGCAUUUGGACCUCUUGAUUUUAGCAAUCGUUUAUGAUUGUAUUCAGUGUUGACAAAGGUUAUAUGAAAUCCUCUAAGGUGAAGAAGUUUUGCAAGUUUGAACAAUGGAUUUAUAUGUCCUUGAAAUGGAGCUGGAAUCAACACAGCAUGUGGUUUUCUGUUUGCAAAACUUCCCAUCUUUGAAAUUUUUCUGUUUGUAUGUUAUUUGUGCAAGAUAUGAGGUUGAAAAACAAGUGAUAGGCAUGUGCUUUUAUAGAGAGAAAAAAGGACAAUGCUACAAAAUUGAAAAAUAUAAAGAAAUCCAAACAGAUAAAUUCUGGGAGGUUCUAACAAAAGGAAAUAAGUUCAUUGUAUGAAAAGACAGACACAUAAAAAGACACCAAAAAUGACACUGACACGUUAACGUCAAUGAUAAUUUGAGAAAUAAAUUAAUUCAAUGUAAUUACAAUGUGUCUGACAUAAAAUUGAAAUCUUAUACAGGUAUGUUCUUGUAAACUUUCCUAUAUGACUCAUUAUAUUGAUUGAAUAUGUUUGUUGGUAUUUGGUUUAACCAAUCAAUGUGGCAUUAACAAUUCAACUGUUACUUGUUACUUAGAUGUCGUUUGAGAUUUAUUUGGGAAUUGAUAAAAUAGAAAAGUUGAGAAAAACUUUAUAUUGUGAUCCUAAAAUCACUAAUAUAACCAAAUUGAAUCUAACCAUAUCUAACUAUCUUCCAAAAUAUUAAACUAAUUUUAACAAAUCUGAAACUACAUCUAACACAUACUUGCAUGGAAUUGCAACCAUUCAGUAGAAAGAUAUUAUCAAACAAAAUCUUCAUAUGCUUGUGGACCAACUCUAUACGUUUCAGUUUCAAAAUUGAACUAGAAGGCACUUCUAUUCAAGUAAGUAUAAGAUAGUUCUGACAUCAAAGAUUUUUGUUGUACAAAGAAAAUAAUUAUGUCCACUUAUUUAUUUUAUAAUAGUCUAUUGGCUAUUAUUUUCCAUGCUUGAAUCAGUCAGACAUUAGACAUCACAAAAAAAAUAUUAGUCCCUUUCAACAAGGGCUCAUGAUUAUCUCCAAAAGUUACAAUUGCAUAAAAGUCAAAUUCACUUUUAUUGUGCAGAAUAGUGACUAGUGGAUAUGUUGUCUUCAUUAUCAAUGGUACCUUCCAUAAGGGCUUUGUGUCCUCUAAUUUUUUUACUAGUCUUUAUUUAUGCAUGUAUUAUAAUCCUUUAUCAUGUCUAUGAGAUAUGGGCUCAAUGGUAAAAAUUUCAGCCAGUAAUCUCAAAGGACAAAGUUCAAACUCCCUUGAUAACAGUGGUAAAAUGGUCAUUGUUGUAACUUUAAUUAAUAAUUCUUAUUUUCACUAAUAAGAAUGUUAAAAUAUGUCUUGAAAUCUCAUGUUAAAAGUUUUUUUUCUUUUCGGUUUGAUUAUUGUCCCCAUGCGCUGGGCGAAGCUGUUUGCUGUUUUCAUCAUGUUGCUAUUUUGUUGCUUGGAUGAGGCGAUAUAGCUAAAUGAGUCAUAGGUGUGCGUCAAGAUCUAUAGAUAAGCAAUUUUUGCAUCAGUUUUCAGGGUGAAAAUGUGUGAAUUUUAGGGUUACAAAAGAGGGAAUUUUUAGGGUUAAAAGUUGAGAGCUUUUGGAAAAAUUAUAGGAUUAGGAAACAUUUUUGUACAUCUUGGAAAUAAAGCAUCGAGUCUUUUGUCCAUCGGAAGAGAAUUGGGAAAAUUGUAACCCUUGUAUUUCUUUGUAAGAAACUCUUUGUUAGUGGUAAGCCAGAUUUGGGUCGAACUGGAUAACUUUGUUUUGGUUGUUGCUAAUAUUUCUCCACACUUCAAAGUAUUGAUGUGAGUUUUUACAAAUUCACAACAACUGGAACCCACCGUGGGAGAAAUAAGAGGUAACUUUUUCAAGUGUGCAACAUGGGUACCAACUGGGAUAUCAAUAAAUUUAUCGGAGACAACGAUUUGGGGCUGUGAAAAGUGAAGAUGAAAGAUGUGUUGAUUCAACAAAAGUUUGCAGAAGCACUGAAGGAUGAGGUUGCUCUCCCAGCUACCAUGUUACAAGCAAACAAGACCGAGAUGGUGGACAAGGCCAUGAGUGUCAUUGUCUUGUGCCACACUGAUAAAGGUUUUAGAGAAAUCGUAAAGGAGCAAUUGACGAGUCCUACAAAAUCCUUGAUGAUUUGACAACUAUUAAAGUGGAUAUUGAGGAUGAAGACACGGAUAUACUCUUAUUAUUAUGAGCAUUAGCUAGAUCCUUUGAGAACUUCAAGGAUACUAUGCUUUAUGGUAAAGAAGUCAUUGUCACUUCGAGGAAGUCCAAGAGGCACAUAACCAAGUCCAAGAACUUGAAAGUUGAUGAUAGUGGUGAAGACAUGAGUGUCUAAAGAGGAAGACGUAUAAGUUGAUGAAAUCGAGGAAGCUCAAUUGAUGGUGCAAGUUGAAGUACAAAUACUCCAAGUGUCAAACGACCGGUCACUUCAAUAAGGACAUUCCCAAGUUAGAGGACAUUAAUGAUUCCGCACAAUUUGCAUUUGCAACAUCAGUGAAUGUUUUUGAAUGUUCACGGAAAGAACCUUUAAUUUCAAAUCAAUCUAUGCAACAAGAAGCUGAUAGUGUAGUGCAGAGAAGUAUGCUUUUGAAGUAUGAUUUCCAAGACAUCCUUAAUCACUUUGUCCAAGUUCAUGUAUGAAGAAUCACCAGGUCUUGUGUCCUUCUCUGCCUUCUUCUUCUUCAACUCCACGGCCUUUUGCCUCAUCUUUUUUCCUUUCUGUCCCACCAUUAAUUCAUUCAUCAGCUUCUCCACCUCCUCUCUCUUCACAUUUGUAUCAAUUUCGAUUCCGAUCUCCAACUUAUUACAAAUAUAUCUGCAGUAUGUUGGCUGCUCAGAAAAAAAAGGCCAACAUAACAUUGGUACUCUGGCACAAAUGCUUUCCAAUGUGGAGUUCCAUCCACAAUGAGUCAAGAAUCGUCCAACUGAAGGGUGGUUCAACACUUGCUCUUGCGGACACCAGCUUGCUAUUUGGCCUCUAUCCGAAGUUCCAUUCACAAACUCGGAUGACAAAAUAACUGAGCCACCAAUGACAAGCUAAGGCCUAAUGAUCCACAAAAAAGGUUUCUUGCUGUUGGCAAAACCUCAAGAGAACUCUAACUGCUCUGGAGUCAUAACCAUAGUGCUUCCAAAAUUCACAUAAACUACAGAACCUUGUUCCUUAGAUUCAAGACAUUUCAUAUCUUCUUUCCAAAGAUUGGAACCUAAAGAAGCCAAGUGCUUUUGGGGAUUUUGAUUCAAAAACGAAGAUAAAGGGCCAAUGGCGUAAAUAGAAGGGAUCUUAAUAGAUAGAGCCUUUACUACAUCACUCUCAAGUUCAUUAUAAGUAUUGAAAACAAUAGCGUUAGCUUCAUGAACCAUAUCGUCCGCUUCAAUGAUAAAAUUUAUCAUUAGGAUCAGUAGUUCUUAUAAAAUCAAGCAGGUCCUUUAGUCUAAUGUUUCGCAAACCUGGAAUCCAGUCAACUUUAGUGACCAAAUAUCCAUUUGUCAGAUAACUCAUCUGCAUAUUAUAAUCACAAAAUCCAUUAGCUUAAAGUUAAAACUCUGAACCCCUAAUAUAUAUCAUAUUAAUUCUAAUACUACAUUCUAUGUUGUAUACAUACUCUCAGUUUCUCCAAAGGAAGAACUUCCAUAGUAAAACUAAACUAUAGUAAUGAAACUCUUCACUUCUGCAUAAUAGUCCUACACUAUCGAUAAAGAAAGAACAUAAAUGAUUACCUUUGAGGGGUAUGACACCUUUAUCAAUAAAUGUACGAAAGAGCAAAGCACACAAAAGUGAGGAUGCACUAGCAGGAAUAAUUCAAUAUCAGAAACUAAGCAACUAACAGGAGGAAUAAGAUCAUCAUUGGAAGAAUCUUUUAAGUUUAGCAAGAAGUUCACAAAAAGGGUGAUAGAAAUUCUUUCUUAUUGAAUCAUCAAGAGAGACAAUUUCUUGACUAAUAUCACCAUAACCUUCUGUCGGAGUUAAACCAUCUGGAAUAGUCUCAAAGGUAAAAUCAGUGAAACCAUCAAAGGCUUUUGGACCUCUUGAUUUGAGCAAAUGUUUGUGAUUUCGGUGUUGACAAAGGUUAUGUGAAAGCCUCUAAGGUGAAGAAGUUUUGCUAGUUUCAAUAAUGGAUUGAUAUGGCCUUGAAGUGGAUAUGGAGUUAUGCUUACUGAUAUGAGUGAGAAGCAUAAGAAAAUCAUAAAUAUAUUUGACUUUAAUAGGUCCCCCAAAUCAUUGGAAUAUAAAAGUUAGGUGCACAAUUUUUCAUCAAGAAUUUGUUUGCAGCACGCAUUGGAAGUUUGUUUAUUUUUAUUCUCAUUAAGAAUUUGUUGGCACUGCACAUGCAUAUACAAUUGUUUCUUGGUUGAAAAAUAAUAUAUUUUUCAUGGUUUAUACUAUUUCAAUUCUUUUCUUGUUGAUAGUUGAAAUGGCAAGAAUCGUUGAAAACUCGCACACAUAAGUGGAGAAGUUUGGAUUCGAAACCCCAGUUACGGAGUUGGCCUAACAAUUUUGUUCUUUAUUGUCUAUUAAGCUAGAACUUGUCGACAUUUAUUUCCUGUUUUUUAUCAGACCAUACAUGUGAAUUUGAAUUGCAUGCAAGCACAAUUUCCACGCGAUCAGAAUUAAUUCAAUCAACAGCUCGGAGUCAUUUCAUCAAAUAUUCGACGUCUCUUAUUGUAGGAUAUGUGAAUCCAUUUUAAAAGCAAACUUAAAAUUGGAGUCGUCCAAUGUUAAUCUAAUAUCUCCGAGCUGCGCUGGCUGAACAAGUGCCUAAAAUUGUGAUUGUAGACAAAGGUUGCUAGUAAAAAUACUUCCUUAUCUUAGUUUUAAACGAUUCAUUAUAUUGCAUCUAAAUAGAAAAUAGAGAAAAACAUAAAAUUUAUAGUUCUGUUAUUGAUGAAAUGAUUUCCUAAAAGAAAAAAGCUUUGAAACUAUAACCUCUACGUACCGAGAAAUAGAAUGCUCAUAUACAUAUUCCCACCAAUAUUUUUCACUUCAAAUGAAUGUAACUAAAUGUAUCGGGGUCGUUUAGGUGUCAAAUAUCAACAUGUGAAGUGUCAAUGCUACACACUUUAAAACCUUCAACCUAAGUAAGCUUACCAUGUCUAUUUUAUUUUAAAACUGAUUUCUAUUUUAGAGUAAAAUAUUUACUUAUGACUUGUAUUUAAUUAGUUAAUCCUGAUAAAACUAUAAAUCUUGUAUAGAACGAUAGAACGAUAUUAAUUUAAACCUGUACACACAGAAAAAUGAUUGGUUUGCCUUAAUUUAUCCUAUACAUGAUAAUGGAAUUCAACAUAGUGUGCAAAAGCCUUACCUACCCCAUAUAAUUAUCCAAUUCAAUACAUUUAAUAUUAGCAAGAAGCACUAUUUUAGUUUAAGAAUUCUUGCACAAGAUAUGUUCGAUACAGUCAUCAUGAACUCAUUACUUAUUCACUACAAUAGCCUCAUCCCUUAAAUUCAAUAGCAGAAGAUCAAUGGAUCAAUAUAAUACUACAUUGCAUUAAAAACGUCACUUAGGUGUGAUUUUAUUUAAGCAAAACCUCCUUAAUCACUUUUUCCAAGUUCAUGUAUGAACAACCACCAGGUCUCGUGUCCUCCUCCGCCUUCUUCUUCAUCUCCAUUAUAUUUUUCCUCAUCUUCUUUCCUUUAUCUCCCACCAUCAAUUCAUUGACCAAAUUCUCCACCUCAUUUCUCUUCACAUUAGUAUCGAUUUCGAUUCCAAUCUCCCAUGUAUUGCAGAUAUAUCUACAGUUUGCUGGCUGAUCAGCAAAAAAUGGCUAACACAACAUUGGAACUCCAGUAGAUAUGCUUUCGGUCGUUGAGUUCCAUCCACAGUGAGUCAAGAAACCACCAAUUGAAGGAUGGUUCAAUACUUUCUCUUGCGAGCACCAACCAGCAAUUAGGCCUCUAUCUGAAAUUUCAUUCACAAACUCCGAUGACAAAACAACUGAGCCACCAAUGACAAGAUCGGGCCUAAUGAUCCACAAAAAGAGUUGCUUGCUAUUUGCUAAACCCCAUGCAAACUCUAACAGUUUUUCUGAAGUCAUAACUGUCCUGCUCCCAAAAUUCACAUAAACAACGGACCUCGGUUCCUUUGAUUCAAGCCAAUCAAGACACUUGUUAUCUUCUUUCCAAAGAUUGGUACUUAAACUUGCCAAGUGAUUCUGUGGACUUUGACUUAAAAGUGAAGAUAAAGGGCCAAUAGCAUAAACAUUAGGGAACGUCGAAGAGAUAACUUUCAUUACAUCCUUCUCAAGUUCAUUAGAAGUAUUAAAAAUAAAAGCAGAGGCUCUGUGAGCCCUUCCUGCUGCUUCAAUGAUAAAUUCUACCAUCGAAUCAUUUGGAUCAGUAAUCUGUAUAAAGGCAGGCAAAUCCCUCAGUCGAAAGUUCUUCAGUCCUGGCAUACAGUCCACUUUAGUGUCCAAAUAUCCGUUUGUCAGAUAACUCUCAUCUGCAUAUCAAAUUUACAAAAGUUGUUAGUGUGAAAUUGAAUCUCCAUACUCCAAAUAUAUGUCAUAUGAACACUUUAACUACUCUACACAUAUGAAGAAAGAAAGAAGAUUAAUUGUUACCUUUUAGUGGUAUGAGACCUUUAUCUAGAAAUGUACGUAAAUGAAUACCAGUCAGAAAUGUACAUGCAUUGGAUGGACUAAAGACAACAUUAGGGAUUGAAAGUUCUUCAGCAGCUUGUAUAGUAAAGGACAUGCUAAUAUCAGAAACUAUGCAACUAACUGGACGGACAAGACCAGAUGUUGCAGAGUCAUUAAGUCUAGCAAGAAGUUCGCGGAAAGGUUGUAGAAAAUUCUUCCUGAUUGAUUUACAAAGAGCGUAAAUGUCUUGACUAACAUCGCCAUCGCCAUCCGUUGGAGAUAAACCAUCUGGAAUACUCUCAAAGUUAAAAUUGGUGAAACCAUCAAAGGCAUUUUGACCUCUUGACUUGAGCAACCGUUUGUGAUUGUAUUCAGUGUUUACAUAGGUUAUGUGAAAACCUCUAAGGUGAAGAAAUUUUGCUAGUUGCAACAAUGGAUUGAUAUGGCCUUGAACUGGAUAUGGGAUUAACACAGCAUGUGGUUUUUUAUCACUCAUUAUUGAGUUUUUGUGUUUGAAUGUUGAGCUAAGGAAACCAAUGUUUUAAUAAAGAUAAAUCCAAUGUUUCUUGGAUUUGUGGAAAAGAAGAUAGAGACAAAAGACAAGGAAAGCAAAAUCAAAUUUAAAGGGUGAGAUCUUUUUCUUAUAAUAUGAAAUAAUUCUAAGUGACACAAUAAUUGAUGCAUACUAGUCAAGUCACCACUUUUUGUUACGUGAGAGAAGGAAAACAAUUUUUCAUUAAAAAGUUUAUAGCACAAACUUAAGAAUGCCUUUAGUAUGCGGUGGUCAGAAUUGAUUUAAAUAAAUUUGUUUGUUAAAAUUAGUUUUUGUUAAAAAGGGCGUUGGAUAUAAAAUUAUUUAUACUUAUAUAUAUUUACGUAAAUUUGAGUUGAGCAAAAAAUUAAAGACUUAAAAUCAAAGACUAAAAAUUGAAGACUUAUCUAACUUAAAUACUAUUAGUUAGACAUCGUUUGGGAUUUAUUUUGGAAUUGAUAGAAUAAUAAAGUUGAGAAACACUGUAUAUUGUGAUCCUAAGAUCACUAAUAUAACCAACCUUGCAUCUAAUCAUAACUAACUUUUUUUUAUAAGCAAUAAUCAUAACUAACUUAUAACUAUCUUAAACAAUACUAAACUAAUUUCAACAAAUAUGAAACUAUAUCUAACACAUACUUGCAUGGAAUUGCAACCAUUCAGUAGAAAGAUAUUAUCAAACAAAAUCUUCAUAUGCUUGUGGACCAACUCUAUACGUUUCAGUUUCAAAAUUGAACUAGAAGACACUUCUAUUCAAGUAUAAGAUAUAUAGUUCUGACAUCAAAGAUUUUUGUUGUACAAAGAAAAUAAUUAUGACCACUUAUUUAUUUUAUAAUAGUCUAUUGGCUAUUAUUUUCCAUGCUUGAAUCAGUCAGACAUUGGACAUCACAAAAAUAUUUGUCCCUUUCAACAAGAGCUCAAGAUUAUCUACAAAGUCUCAAUUCCAUAAAAGCCAAAUUCAUUUUUAUAUGUUGUCCCUUUACACAUGAAUUAUAAUCCUUUAUCACGCUACAACGUAUCAGCUCAAUGGUAAGAGUUUGAGCUUGUAAUCUCAAAGGACAAAGUUUAAAUUCCCUUAAUAACAAUGGUAAAAUGCUCAUUGUUGUAACUUUAAUUAAUAAACACUUAUUUUGACUAAUAGGAAUGUUAAAAUAUGUCUUGAAAUCUCAUGUUGAAAGUUUUUUUACUUUACUAUUGCCCCCAUGCGCUAGGCGCAGUUGUUUGUUGUUUUUAGCAUGUUUCUAUUUUGUAGCUUGCAUGAGGCGAAGGGUAUAGCUGAUUUAGCAGGUGUGCGUCAUGAUCUAUAUUAGUUAGGGGACAUUGAUGAUUCCACACAAUUGGCAUUUGCAAACAUCAAUGAAUGUUUUUGAAUGUUUAAAUAAGAAAGAACCUUUGAAUUCAAAUGCUUUCAAAUCAAUCUAUGCAACCAGAAGCUGACAAUGUAGUGCAGAGAAAUUUUAUAAAAGAUCAAAAGAAGAAUAUAAAUAUAAUAUUAAUAUGAUUUUCAACUAUUGUCUUACUUUGAUUCAGGUGAAUUCAAUCAAUCAAAAUUUGAAGGGGAAAAAUAAAGGUAUGUGAUCUUUAUUUAUGAAGAAUGAACUUGAUGAACAAGAAUGCAUCAUUACAAUGUUUCUGACUAAAUUGUUGAUGUUCAUACUUAAGAACAUAGGAAGACCUAAAAUAUGAAUUAUUUGUUCCUAACAAAACUAUAUAUAUUGUAUAAAAGUGACUUAAGCUUGAUUUUGUUUAAGCAACACCUCCUUAAUCACUUUCUCCAAGUUUGUGUAUGAACAACCUCCAGGUCUCGUGUCCACCUCCACCUUCUUCUUCAGCUCAAUGGCUUUUUGCCUCAUCUUCUUUCCUUUAUCUCCGGACAUCAAUUCAUUGACCAGUUUCUCCACCUCCUCCCUCUUUACAUUAGUAUCGAUUUCCUUUCCAAUCUCCCAUUCAUUGCAAAUAUAUCUGCAGUUUGCUGGCUGAUCCGAAAAAAAUGGCCAACAUAACAUUGGAACUCCAGCACAUAUGCUUUCAGUGGUUGAGUUCCAUCCGCAAUGAGUCAAGAAUCCACCGACUGAAAGGUGGUUCAAUACUUUCUCUUGUGGACACCAACUUGCUAUUAGUCCUCUAUCUGAAAUUUCUUUCAAAAAAUCAGAUGAGAAAACCACCGAGCCACCAAUGACAAGAUCAGGCCUAAUGAUCCACAAAAAGGGUUUUUUGCUGUUGGCCAAACCCCAAGCAAACUCUACGAGCUUCUCUCGAGACAUAACAGUGAUGCUGCCAAAAUUUACAUAAACAACAGAUCUUGGUUCUUUUGAUUCAAUCCAUUCAAGACAUUUAGUAUCUUCUUUCCAAAGAUUAGAGUCUAAAGAUGUCAAGUCAUUUUGUGGACUUUGAUUUACAAAAGAAGCUAAUGGACCAAUUGUGUAUAGAGAAGGGAACAUAGAAUAGAAAGCAUUCAUAACAUCACUCUCAAGUUCAUUAGAAGUAUUGAAUACCAUACCAGAAGCUCUAUGACAUUUAUCUGCCACUUCAGUAUUAAAUCUUAUCGUCAAGUCAUUAGGAUUUUUUGUCUUUAUUAACCUAGGAAGAUCCUUCAAUCUGAAGUUUUUCAAACCUGGGAUCCAGUCAAUUUUUGUGUCCAAAUAUUCAUUUGUUAGAUCACUCUCAUCUGCAUGUCAUAAUUGCAAAAAUCAAUAGCAAGUCAUAUGUAUAAAUAUAUAUAUCAAGGUUUAAAAUCACAUUUGCAAUAAUAAUUUUGGUUGUGUUAUCCUACUGAUAUUGCAUAUAAUCCCAAUCAAAUGUGGUUGAUGCAACCUCAAUUGCGAUUAUAGAGAUAUCGCAACCUUGAUGUUCGGCCCAUAUUGUGACCGCAAACCUUUUUUAAAAACCAUAACAUACACACACAGAUCUCUUAAGAAGAAAAAGGGAACAAAAAUGAUUACCUUUGAAUGGUACUUGACUAUUCAGAUACAUUUUAGGACUGAGCAAACAAGACAAGAAAUAACAUGCACUACAUGGGGAAAAAAGAACAAUUGGGAGGGCAUGUUCUUCAGCAGCAUCUACUGUAAAUGGCAUGUAGCAAUCAGAAACUAAGCAAGUGACUGGGGGGAUAAGACCAGCAGUGGCAGAGUCUUGAAGUUUAGCAAGAAGUUCAUCAAAGAAGUGGCGAAAGUUCGUUAUGAUUGAUUCACCAAGAGAGUGUAGGUCUUGACUUACAUCACCAUUACCAUCCUUUGGAGUUAAACCAUCUGGUAUAGUCUCAAAGUUAAAGUCAGUGAAACCAUCAAAGGCAUUUUCACCUCUUGAUUUGAGCAAACGUUUGUGAUUGUAUUCAGUGUUAACAAAGGUUAUGUGAAAGCCUCUAAGGUGAAGCAGUUUUGCUAUUUUCAACAAUGCAUUGAUAUGGCCUUGAACUGGAAAUGGAGUUAACACUGCAUGUGGCUUUUUCUCUUCAAAGUUACUCAUGAUUGAUAUUUUUCUUAUGUAAGAAAACUAAGAAAAAACUGAGGUGAAAAAUCUAUGAGGCCUCUAUAUAUAACAAUGAGUGAAUUUUGUUACGUAUCUAUUAUCUAUUGUAUAAUAUAAAAAAAUUCUUAAGAAUGGAAAAAACCAUUUUUCUUUUUGAAUAAUUCAAUUACUGUCUAAUUCAUUUUUAUCUAAUUUUUAGUAAAUUGAAAAUCGGAUUUUCUAAUUAAGAUAAUCCAUAUUUGAUAAUUUUUUCUAUACAUCAAACUUUCUUUAUAAACUCUUCCCCUUAAAUAUAUUAAGAGAAGGCCAUAUUUGACAAUAUAUCUUCUAAACCAAUAAAAAUCAAAUUGCAAAUUCUAUGGUACAGCCAAUAUAUUUGAAUGUACCGGUACACUUACUCUUUAAAUUAAUGGUUAAAUGAGUUGUUUUUUGAAGAAAAAUAUUAUUUUCUAUCCUUUAUAUUUAUAAUAACUAAAUCUUAUUCAUCAAAAGUGUUAACGAAAUAAAAUUAAUUUUUUUUGAAUUUUUAGCACUCAUAGUUGAGAAUAUUGAUUAUAUUUUACGAUAAUAUGCAAAAAAAUUACUAUAAUUCUUAUAAAUAAUGAACUGAUGUUUUUUCUUAUGAAAUGAUGUUCUAUAAAAUAUAAAUAUUGAUAAAUAGUUAUUUAUUUCACAAAAAAUAAUCGUUAAUUUAUAAAAUUAUGAAAAAAGAGUACCGGUACACCUCAUUUUGUGAGUCUACAAUAGAAGUUCCCCAAAUCAAAUACAGUCAAAAUAUACUUUAAGUAAAAAAAAUAAAAAUCAAAUAUACUUAAUACAAUAAAAAUCCAAUUUGGACUUGACAAAGAAAAAAAUCCAACAUGUGCAACAAAUUGACGUGGUGAACGAAAGCAACGUCUGCAUGUUGAAAGGAGACCACUUUCUGUGGUGGGGACUGAUUUUAUAUACAGACAAUGGUGUUCAGACGGGAACAGACUUGCCAGUCUAUUCUUUUAAUAGUGUUAAUUAAGGGUGUUUUGGUGCAUUUUUAAUCGAUUUUGAGGUUAAAAGUUAUCCAAAUCGUAAAAUAAAAGAGCAUCAUGUUUGAUUUAAUUGACUUUUAAAAUAAAACUUGAACCAAAUCAAUAUGGGUUGAAUUAUAUUGGUUCGUGUGGUUUUUUCGAGACUAUAAUUUUUUAUUUUUAACAUUAAAAUCGAGUUAAAAACUUAUAACACAACAUAUUUCCAAUAAUGUUUCCGACAAUGUUUUCAAUUUCAUCCAACAUGACAAUUUUAUUUUCACCAAAUAAUAAUAUAGACGAAAUUUAAAAUGUGGACAAAAAGUAAUCCUAUUAAAGAAAUGUAAAAUACUAAGAUUUAUCAUUCUAUAAAAUUUUAUUUUAUAAAAGUUUCCAUUUUUGAAAUAAAAAGUAAAGAAGAAAAUUAACAAGAGAAAAUAAUAUGUCGUUUUAUAAAAGUUUUCAUUGAAUUUCUAUGAGUAUUGGUCUACCUGAAUUAGGUUUAAUUAGCGUUUUUCUUAUGUUGCGGUUUAGUUUGGUUAAUAAAAUAAAAACUGCAAACCGAACCAAACCUUGCGGUUAAGUAAAAAAGUGAUCCGAAUUCAUCCAAACCAAAUGCAUUUUUUGCGGUUUUAGUUUGAGUUGGUUCGGUUUGCAGUUUUUCUACUGGAUUGGUCAGUUUUGAACACCACUAUUUUUUUUGUCUAGUAGCCUAGUGUCUGGAGCUCACACAAUUAAAUUUGAAGAAGUGGGGUAUCUGGGGUUCAAACCCCGACCCUGUAUAAAUUGUGCAAUGUUCUUAUCAAUUGAGCUAAGCUCACGGGGACGUUUCGAACACCUCUAGUGCUAAUGCAUAUAAAUUAUGAAUAUUUAGUAGUUUUUAUGAAAUUUUAAUUUUGAUUAAAAUUAUAGAUAUAGAUAUUUUGUUCUUUAUAUUCUAACAAAUUAUACUUAUUUUUUUUAAAUAACACUAACAAUAUAGCAAAUAUAAUAUAAAUUCUUAUCUUUUUAUUUAUAUUUUUAUUUUUAUAAGCCUUAUUUCAUAAGCCGUUUUCAGCAAAUUUUCAAAAAUGUUUUCAAAAUCAUUUAUGAAAACAUCUUAUAUAUGAAAACAAUUUAACAUAAAUUUAUCUUUUGCUGUAGAAAUAGUUUAUGCAUAAGUGCUCAUCAUAAUUAAUAAGAACUUGCGCUAUAAAUUAUUUAUCCAAACAUGGCCUCUAUUCAUUACUAUUCAACUUAUGAAGCGUGUAAGAAUUAUACUCCCCGAUGUCCAAAAAGGAACUGAAAGGUGAGCAUUUCUUAAUUCAUUGAUUUAGAAUUAUUAAGUUAUGUUUACAAUUUUUCAUGGUUCAUAUUUUUUUUCAGUUUUCAGUAGGACGCCUAUCUUACUUUUUAAUGAUUUAUUCUAUUGAAUUUAUAGAGAAAAGGAGGGAAACUGAAAAGUUAUAAAUCUGUUAUUGAUCAAAUGACUCCCUAAAACUAGUUCUGCAGUAUACCAAUCUUAUAUAUCAUUAAAAGCUUACUAGGGUUUUUUAUACAAGAAAAUGUUAAUGCUUAGUAUAUUAUGUAAGUAACCUGAAUUGGAAUCUUAGACCUCAUGUUAAGCAGUGGUUUAGAGUUUUUUUUUAUAUAAGAAAAUGUUAAUUGUAGUGAGUUAUGUUAGUAACCAGACUUGUUAGUUAUUGAUUUGAAUUCUGUUACAACUCAGACACUUAAGCUACCCCUUGAGGAUAAAAUUAUGCAAGAGUUACUUACAACAAAUAACUGUAGUAACCAUCGAUUUCAGAACUGGAUCCGCUGAUUGAACCAGGAAUCGGCCAGUCUAUACCGGUUGUUCAACCAUGGUCGGUUAUAAGUCUGUCAGAACCUCAUUCAACCAUGGUUUAUUCAACCGAAUCAUUGUUUUUUCGAAUGUUCAUACAUAUUUCGGGAAAUAUUCUUUAAUUCCUGGAUAUGAAAGACAACCAAAAUCUCAUAUUAGUUUUAUUCAUGGUCCUAUGUUAAAACCUGUUCUAUAAAGUAGCUGAUCUUAUGUACGCCUGAUAUAUUUGAAGUUUGAUCCUUCUGUUUGCAUAGGCUGUUCUUUGAUGAUAUUGAAAAUGAAUAGUAUAAUUGCAUAGUAGUACUCAACAUAAGUGAAUGUCUUUUAUUGUUAUAGGAUAGAACCUUUCAAAUCAAUCUCCGAAGCAAGAAGCUUACAAGCAAUGAGAAGUUUAUGAAUAUAAUAUUAAUGUGAUCUUUAGUUACGAAGAAUGAACUUGAUGAAGUUGAAUGCAUUGUUACGAUGUUCCUGACUAAAAUGUUGAUAUCCACACUUAAGAACAUAGGUAGACAUAAAAUGCAAAUUAUUUGGUCCGAACAAAACUAUAAAAAUCGUACAAAAGUCACUUAAGUUCGAUUUUGUUUGAGUAACACCUCCUUAAUCACUUUCUCCAAGUUCAUGUAUGAACAGCCUCCAGGUCUCGUGUCCUCCUCCACCUUCUUCUUCAACUCAAUUGCCUUUUGCCUCAUCUUCUUUGCUUUCUCUCCCACCAUCAAUUCAUUAACCAGCUUCUCCACCUCCUCUCUCUUCACAUUAGUGUCGAUUUCAAUUCCAAUUUUCCAUGUAUUGCAUAAAUAUCUGCAGCUUACUGGGUGAUCAGCGAAAAAUGGCCAACACAACAUUGGAACUCCAGCAGAUAUGCUUUCAGUGAUUGAGUUCCAUCCGCAAUGAGUCAAGAAUCCACCAAUUGAAGGGUGGUUCAGUACUUGCUCUUGCGGACACCAGCUCGUUAUUAGGCCUCUAUCUGAAAUUUCAUUCACAAACUCCGAUGACAAAACAGCUGAGCCGCCGAUGACAAGAUCGGGCCUAAUGAUCCACAAAAAGGGUUGCUUGCUAUUUGCUAAACCCCAUGCAAACUCUAACAGUUUUUCUGCAGUCAUAACUGUCAAGCUCCCAAAAUUCACAUAAACAACAGACCUAGGUUCCUUGGAUUCAAGCCAAUAAAGACACUUGGUAUCUUCUUUCCAAAAAUUGGUGCUUAAAGAUGUCAAAUGGUUUUCUGGACUUUGAUUUAAAAACGAAGAUAAAGGGCCAAUAGCAUGAAUACAAGGGAACACAGUGGAGAGAGCAUUCAUUACAUCCUUCUCAAGUUCAUUAGAAGUGUUUAAAAUAUAAGCAGAGGGUCGGUGAGCCCUUCCAGACGCUUCAAGGAUAAAUUCUACCAUGGAAUCAUUUGGAUAUUUUGCUCUUACAAAGUCCGGAAGAUCCUUGAUUCGGAAGUUUUUCAUGUUGGAAAUUUAGGUCUUAAUAUAAACAGAUUUCAUAAUACAUGUUCAACAACUAUGAAUCAAUAGCGGAAGCAAACAAAACAUUGAACAUGAUUAUGAUCGGAUCUACGACAUGUUUGAUUUACCAAGGAUAUUAAGAAUUAGGGUAUUAGGAAUACCUGGAUAAAGCUUUUGUAACAACCCUCUCAUCAACAACGAUAACCAAAGAGAGGAGAUGAUCUGAAACACGCAAUAGAGUUAGCGGCGGCUGAUUUGGUUCUUCCUCAACCGGUACCUUUAUGCCUCAAGUUCUCUUCAGAUGGGGAGAAGAGAGAGUAUUGCCGUGUACGGUGUAUUGGGGACCAUAGCCUCUUUUAUAUUGGAUGGCCAUUAGGGUUUCCCAUUAUUCCAUUAAUGGGUCAUCCGGACAUCCACUCAUGUUGAGUCCAUAUCAACUAAUUAAAUAAUUAAUUAUCCAAAAUAGAAAUCUAAUUAGCCUUAUUACUUAAUUUGAUCACUAAUCAAUUAAGGCUCACAAUUGAUAAAUAGCUAAUAUAAUUAUUAUUACGAUAUUUGCCCACAUAAUGAUAUUGGAAUAUUAUUAAUUAAUAAAAUAUUCCAACAUUUCAGUCCUGGAAUACAAUCUACUUUAGUGUCCAAAUAUCCGUUUGUGAGAUAACUGUCAUCUGUACAUCAAAUUACAAAAUCUGUUAACUUGAAAUGUCAUAUUAAUACUUUAACUACACUACAUCUAUGAAGAAAGAAAGAAGAUUAAUUGAUUGUUACCUUUUAGUGGUAUGACACCUUUGUCAAACAGUGUAGGUAAGUGAAAACAAGUCAAAAACAUACAUGCACUGGCUGGACUAAAGAAAACAACAGGGAUUGAAAGUUCUUCAGCAGCUUGUAUUGUAAAAUACAUGCUAUUAUCAGAAACUAUGCAAGUAACUGGAGGGACAAGACCAGAAGUGGCAGAGUCAUUAAGUCUAGCAAGAAGUUCACAAAAAGGUUGUAGGAAGUUCUUUCUGAUUGAUUCACAUAGAGCAUAUAUGUCUUGAUUAACAUCACUAUCGCCUUCUAUCGGAGUUAAACCAUCUGGAAUAGUCUCAAAGGUAAAAUCGGUGAAACCAUCAAACGCUUUUGGACCUCUUGAUUUGAGCAAGCGUUUGUGAUUGUAUUCGGUGUUGACAAAGGUUAUGUGAAAGCCUCUAAGGUGAAGAAGCUUUGCUAGUGUUAUUAAUGGAGUGAUAUGUCCUUGAAGUGGAUAUGGAAUCAACACUGCAUGUGGCUUUUUAUCAGAAAAAUGACUCAUUUCUGAGUUUUCU
rnacentral:lncRNA from 1 species